rnacentral:lncRNA from 1 species
UUGGAUGUUCUUCAGCACUUGCUCCUCUGGUACGUAGAUCUUUUCAAGGGUUUUCCCAAUCUUUUUCUCCCACAAGGAGACAAGAUCAUUGAAUGAGUAAGUAUUCUGAGGGGGCCUGAUGUAGAGGAUUUUAUUCAAAGUUCUAGGAUCAUUCACAGCUUUGAUGGUAUAGGUGCCAAUGUCAUCCUCCUUGUUAAAAACAGCUGGAGAUGCAAAAACGAAACAGGUAAGAUAGGAGUUGAACCAUUUUCCUUUACCUUAGAAUCUUGGGACUGCUCAGGUCUCUUUGUCAUUAUAUAUAUAUAGAUCAAAAACUCACAGCUGGAAAGCCAACUCCAGAGAACUGUUGACUCAAUAAAGGAGGCUUAGCCCAUCCAAUUCAGUUAAAAACAGAAGGUCAAUAAUGAUUAAUAACUGGAAAUGCAUGAUGAUUCCUUCAGUUCAACAUCAUGUUAGUUGCCUGGGUUAUAGCUCAAUUGCACUGUUGCACCCAAGCAGCAUACCCAACUGCUGGAAGGCUUUGUUUCUGAGUGAACAGGUUUGGUCAGCUGGAGAAGGGGGGAGUGAGGAGGGAUUUUCCAGGUUUAGAAUGGCUACAUUCUGAUCUGAAGGAAUGUAGGCCAUUCUCACCUCAACAACUUUGGCAACCCUGGCUGGAGAAGAUAAUAUGCAGAUACCAGUUUAUGAAAUGGUAAAUUAACAGUCACAUGGAUUUCAUGGUCAUUGAAAUAACUUUUCAUUAGAAUUAUUGUUCACACCCAUUACCAUUGGAUGUUUCAGAGCAGAUGCACCAGUGUAUUUUAAUGUCAAAAGGACAAAAUGCAACAGGGAAGUUCAACUCUUUUAUCAUUUUCAGAAAGGUUGCUUACCCUUUGGAUUCCCAUCUCCUAGAAUAAUAACUUUAUCUCUUGGGGGAGUAGUGGCUCCAGGCUGUGACAAUGAAGGAAGGAAAUAGCCAGCAAAGAAGUUGGAGGAUACAUAGGUGUAGGGAAUUCCUUCAGCCUCAAUAGUGCGGCGGAUUUGAGCCUUAGUUGCAAAUGCUGUUUUUGCUGGCUCAACAGCAUGGACACGGUCCACAUCAUUUCCAAACUCUGAUGGGAAGAAUCUCUAGACAAAAUAAAGCACUUUGAGACAAUGUAUGAAAAACCAGUUAUAUCUAUUCAGUCAUGAUAGCUCACAGACACAGAUCAUAUAUGGGAUAAAUGUUAACAAGAUGAUACAAGUGUUCUACAAGGAUAAAGUUGUCAUGCAAUUAGUACUUGGAAUGGUGGAAGGAAAGAGUGCACUGAUCAGGAUACUUACAUGUAAAGAAAAAAAAUUAAAUGAAAGGGAAGAAAAGAACUACAAAACUUCAUUCUGUAUCAAAUCACUUCAACAUCAAUUUUCAUCUUUUAUUAUUUAAUUAUAAUCCCUAGGGAGUGAUUUCAAAACAUUUGGCAGGAUUUAAUCAGGCUAAAUAGAACAACCACCAUUAGAGAAUAAUGCUAUGUAUCGUUGAAAAAUUAUCCAUAUCCAAUGACAGGCUCAGCUGCAUAGUUAAGUAACAGAUAUGGAUCCAUCAUCUCAUAGGGUAAAUAUUAAGUUCUUAUGGUUCUCCAUUCAACAUAAAGUUCAACAGCACCCAUUCUAGAAGAAACAAUUUGGAGCUCCUGACCUCAUUGUGAAGUGACAUCCAGCCACAUCUCCAUUAUGAGAGAUCUAGACAUCUGAGUCUCAGGGUUCCUUUUGCAGCUUUACAAAAGUGGCGAAGGGACUAUCUUAUGGUAAAGGCUUAUUGUUAUACUAACCAAAAGAAGGAAAUAGCCAUACUUCAGUACUACUUGAAGAGCUAAUAACAUCUCUAAAAUUUGAGGUUUUUUGAUUCCUUUUCCUAUGCUCUUUGAAAAUAUAGGAUUUUUAUUGUAUGUAGAUGAAAUUGUCUUUUAUGGCUUUCAGCAAAUGAUUUCUAUAAGAGUAGCCUCGUCUGAGGGGUUUAAUCAUUUCUAAAAAAAUAAAUUAUUUCCCAAACCAAAUAUUUGAUUAUGAUAAUCAAAAUAUGGGUUAUAUUAUGGCCCUGAAAGCAGUACACAAUAAACCCCAUUUCAGCUGGGAAGAAUAGAUCAAUUGUAAUCAGGCUACAUCAAGAAUUAAAAGCAAUUUUCAAACAUCUAAUAGCUGAGAUUGAGUGGGUUAUGGUACCUUUUUCUUGGAAAAGAACACUCAACUCAAUCCAACCUCACUGAAAUACCAUAGAUCUAGCAAGAAAAGAAUGUUAAGGUCUUUCAUGCACUUUCAAAGACUCUUUUAACAUUUCUAAGGAAGGUGAUAUCAUAUCAUGCACAAAGGAUAAAGAUAUUUGCGACAAAUGAUUACAAAUGCCAAUAAUAAAUAAAUAUCACAGUACUAGGAUCUGCAAAGAAGGGAGAAAUGACAAGGAGAAGCUGAGAAAUUGCAUCAGUUCGGACGGUUAUACCUUAACAUUUCCAGCUUCUUUGAUGGCAGCAAUGAUCUUCACUUGAUCCGGCAACUGUGCGUGGCCAACCGUGGAGAUCACAACAUCUACUUGCUUGAUCGCCUUCACCAAACUCUCGUGAUCGUAUAGAUCUCCCUGAAACAUAACAUAACCAAUCAAUAAACUAUUUCAUAACCCUAAUUCUCCAAUUAAGAAGUAAGAAUCCAAAGAUAGGUGUAUUUUUCCAGUUCACUGAAACCAAACAACUUAAAACAAAAACAUCCGAACUUUUCUUUUCCUGAGGAUCGCCAAUUUUUUCUUUCUGGAUGAGUGAAGAAUUUCAGUUUUCGUUUUUUUAGGAACUUCAAGAUCCAAAAAAUUCUAGAACUCCAACAAAUUUCGUUAAUUUUCCCGGCGGCAAUAAGAAGCAAAAAUUGGAAAAGCAAGAAUGGCGAGAAAAGAGAGCGAAUAGAACGUACAUAAACCAAAGUCACGCCAGAGCUCUUGAAACUCUCAAUGAUUUCAAACUUCUCCGAAACUGUGGAUUCUCUGACGAGAGCGAAGGUAGGGUGACCGGACUUAGCGCUGGCAGCGACGAUAAACUUUCCGAUGUAGCCAGUGCCGCCGAUGAUGAGAAUCUUGCUCUUUUCGGACAUUGUUAACUUUUUUCGGGCGAAUCUCCGGCGAGAUAUGUGGAAUGAGAAGACUAAGAUGAAAGGUCGCGGGGAAGUGGAUGGGCUCCAAAGACCAAGGACGACGAUCUUAUAGGACUGAGGAAAUUAAGAUUGUGUAAUUACGGAACUAGCCUUGUGUUUGAGCCGUAACUUCCGUUUUGGCUAUAUUUUGUAUGCGGCUUCAUUUUUAUGUGAUUCACGAAUGUGUCCAAGUUCAUUUGUUUGACACUUGGUUGGAAUCAGUCAAAUUACAAAACUACCAAAUGUUUGGUUUGGAAAGCGAAAAAGUGUACAAUCCGUUAGUAGAGGGAAAAAAAAUGUGUUUUGAGUAUAAAAUUAAUUAUAAAAUAUUAAUUUUUUAAAAAUAAUUUAAGUUUCGUGCAUUCAUCGAUUAAAAAUAAUACUUAAAAUAGUUAAUAGUAAUACCUAUAUCAUUAAAAUAUAGUACUUAAAUUAUCAAAGAUAAUACCUUUUGAUAGCGAAAAAUCCUCCAUUGAUAAUAGGAAGAUAUCUUCUACUGAAAUCAAAAAUAAAUUUUUCAUCAAAAUCCCUAUUUUACAUUCAAAUGUAUAUUCCAUCUAUGCAUUUAUCUCUUCCUUUGCAUUUAUCGUUUCAAUAUUCUCUUAAUUUUGUUCCAUUUUUAUAGACUUACACAUAUAUUCUUUUAAAUAUCAGACCCGUUUUACCUUUAAUUAAAAAGUAUAUGAAAUAAUAAUUAUUUUUAGAUAAUUAUAUAAAAUUUAUAAUUAUAUAAAUUGAGUUUUGAAAAAGCAUGAGAGAGAAAGGAAAAAGAUAUUGGUUUAAUUAAGGCAUACAAGUCGGUCUUCUUGAAGGGUAGUUAGAUUCCCUACCUAAACUCAGUCUUCUUUUUUAUUGCUAUGAAACUUCUUGCCAAGUUCCAAGUUUUUAGUCAAUGGAUUUAUUAAAUUCUGGUAUGACUUGGUGGGGUGUGUAGUAAUUAGUCUACGGGAGAGUCAUUAUUAAUAUGAAGCAGGGAUUAUUAUAAUAUUUUACUACAUUUCCAAUAGCAAAUGCUACCUCGAAGAAGUUACACGUCACAGCGAGACGCUCGAGAACUUUCGCAGAUUCCAAGACUUGACUUUCAAGCGAGCCAAAAGCCUUGGAUAUCAGAUUCCAAUUGGAAUGGUUAAACCUUUUCAAAUGUUUUCCAUAUAAUUUUAUUGGUUAAAAAAUAAUUAUAAAAGGGUUAUUUGAUUAAAAGGACAUUAAAAAUCUAAUCCUUUAUUUUUUUUUUAAUUAUAUUUUGAUUAAAAUGCCUUAUUCUUUUCUUGUAAAAAUAAUUUUUUUAAAACCUAUAUAUAAAUAAUUAAAAUAAUUAAGAAUAUUUAUGUAAAAAAUAAUUAUUUAAAAAAAAACAAAAAAAAUGUUAAGUUCAUAAAUUUGAAAAUUAUUUCAUCAUUUUAACCAAUCAAUUCAUUAUAAAACACUAAAAUCUCUUUUAAAAACACGACUUCUCUUUUUAAAUUUAAAUACAUGCUUACCCAGUAAAAUGAUUACCUUUUUCCAAAGUUUUUACUAUAAUUUGAUCCGAUAAAAAAAAUGAUAAUUAUAAGAGGAUGUUUAAUAAAUCAACUUAAUGAGUUAAAGAGAUUUAAUAACUCAAUUUAAAUUAUUAAGUAGAUUAAACAUGUUCGAUAAAAUAACUUAAUCUCACCACUAAUAUUUAAAAAGAGCUUUAAGUAUUCGGUCAAAAUAAUUAAUUUAAUUUUAAUUUUAAUUUUAAUAUUUUUUGUCUUAUUUACCUACAUGAACACAUAUUUAACAAUCAUAAUAUUAUAGUAAUAUGCUAAAUAUUUAAAUAUUUUAAUUAUAUUAUAUACUAAUAUGCUAAAUAUUUAAAAGCGUUACUCGUAAUUAAUAAUAUUAUAUAUUACUAUUAUCAUUAUAAAUUUUAUUAUACAUACAUUUAUUAAGAAGAAUACAUUUAUGAUGUCAGCUAUACUUAAGGAUUGUUGUAUUUAAUAUACAAAAGUGUGGGAAGAUGCGAUCGGGGUAUUUAAUAUAUAUAUUACUUCAUUAUGACAUACAUAUAAAAUAAAUAAAAGGUGGAUUCCACUUAUUCUACCUACCAUUCAUGGACCAUAUAAGAUAUAUUAUUUUAUCUUUUUAUCUUAUAUUAUAUUAGAUUAUAUUUAACAAACUAAACAAGACAUAAAGGACAACCGUUGUAUCAAAUUUCAAACUUGAAUAGUUCAUGAACUAAGCAUCAUUGCCUUUUCUUGUCUCAAUAGAAUAAGCCUUUUAAUUGUUUUAUAUACAUUUAUUUCUUCAUCAAGCCUGUUUCUUUCAAGCUCCCUCUCUUGAGCUAGAAAUAUUAUAGUAGGAGCUAGGUGUUCCUUUCUGUAUAGCUCCAUCUCUAAUCAGGUAUCAGAGAAGAUAAAAAAUCUAAUUCCAGAAACUUCUACUUGGAUAAGAUUAGAAAGGCACAUUGUCCUACUACAGAAUAUGCCCAAUGGCAUAGACAAGGAAAUAACCCACUAUUUUCCACACAACAUAAAUUAAGACAGCCACACAUGUUUGCUUAUUUAGAUAGUGCAGCAUGAAAAUGAAAAAGUUGAAAACUACCAGGACCAGAGUCUAACCUCAUCCUAUUUGACAUCAGGAUAUAGCUCUGAAGCCUCCACUCCAAAUGAUGGCUCGAUCUCGAAGUUGGUCUGGUCACCCUUAACAAAAACAGAGUGAUCGAUCGAUAAUAUUGCGUUGAGUGGAGCUGAGGCUUCUGCAAGAAACAGUGGAAAACCCAUUAAUCUAAAGGUCUUAGCCAUCAUUAACAGAUCAACUAUAUAAACGGAUUUUGGAGCCAAAAUGGCCUCUAUGGCUGAAAAAUUAUCCUUUGUGGAGACCUUCUUAAACUUAUUAUCAAGGUAGACCUCUUCAUGUCAAGCAGGAGUCAUUAAAUUAAUUUUUUCCUUUUUAAACUUAAGUUGAAACCACGUUUUGAAAAGGGUUUUUGCAUGCAUGGGUCAAAAUAAUUAUCAAAUUGCAAAAAUGACCCCUCUCUUUAGUUUUAUUGAGAGAUGUUCCUCUUUAAACACUUUUACCCUUUCAGAAAGAUCAUCUCCCUACUUAUUUUAUUCAUUCUAUACAUUUCUCAAUUUCUCCAAUCUCAUUUAUCUUUUCAGUUCAUUUUUUUUUUUUUAUCUCUCUUCUUCCUAACUCUCUGAGUCUCUUGCAUUACCAUGACUUCAGUUUUAAGUGUGACCACCAACUUAAUUUUUUCAUUUUUCUGGCCUUAUCUUAAACUUGCUUUGUUUCUUUUUCAAUGGAUGACACUCUAGGAAAACUUGAUCUCAUUUCAUAAUGUCCCACCCAAUUUUCUUAUCUCUCAAACAACUCCUCAUUCUCAUUCUUGAUGUUCAACUGAAGUGUUAAGUUUUAUUUAUUACGAAUUUAACUAAGGUUAAAUUUUGAUUGAGAAUGAUAAGCUAAAUUACACAAGUGUUACGUUUGGUUGCAAAAAACUUAAUUAGAGUUAAAUUUUCAAUCAUAAUAGUAAUAUGAACCCCGCUAAGUUAAGUUUUAUUUACAAAAGACUUAUGUGGGGUUAGAUUUCUAUUUCAUUUACAAAGGACUUGAUUAUGGUAACCUGAACUAUACUCUGGUUAAGUUUCAUUUAAAAAUAACUUAAUUAGGGUUAAGUUUUUGUUUCACCUACAAAGAACUUGAAAAAGAUCAAGGUCUUGUUAAAAUGCUCAUUUUCACUUAACUACCGAAACAUAGGGCUCGAUAAAAAUAGAGUUGGAUAAGAGAUUUAGUAAAUAACAGCUUUCUAUUCAAUCUCAUCUUCGACGUUGUAGAAGUUCAAAUGAAAUUGCAAAAUAAUCCUAACAAAAAAAAUUAGAAAAAACCCUAACAAAAAACAAUGACAUAAAACCCAACUAAAAAGAAAGAGAAAGAUGAGAUUCGAUCUCAUCUUCGCCAUUAUAGAAGUUUACAUGAAACUCCUAACAAAAAACAACGACAAAAAACCUCAACAAAAAGCUUCAUCCAAAAACAACGAGAAAAAACGCUAACUAGAAACAAAGAGAGAGAUGGAGAUCUGACCUCAUCUUCUAUAUUGUAGAAGUUCAAAUGAAGCUGCAACCAAACAAAAAACAACUCCUAAAAUUUGAAAUGUAAAGGGCUCUAAUGUUUGUUCAGGGGUUUGGACUUCACUGGAAAAAGAGAUGGAACAUGAACUUAGAGAGAAGGAAGAACCUAGAGAGAAGGAGAAAGCUAGGUAUCAAAAAUAGAAGGAACAUUUUUGGAGGAAGUAAAGAAGAGUAAAAAUGUCCAAAAUUGGUCAUUUCUCUAAAGAAUGAAUAAGGGAAGUCAUUAUUUCGAUUUUAAAAGUAUUUUAGUCGACUUCAAUCGAGGUCUGGGGCAUGAUCAGCAGAUUUUACCAGCAGUCCAGGUAACAUUUUCUAACUCAAAACAAUUGAAUCAAAAACCAAUUUCAUUUAAACAAUCUAGCAUAAAGGGAAUGUCAUAUUCACAAUCUCUGUUCCAAUUUAAAUUCACUAGGAAAACCAAAGCUUGAACACUUCCAAAAAGGAAAAUGUUUCUCACUAACCUUGGAUGUUCUUCAGUCACUCUGGAACACAUGUUUCUUUAUUUAAUGGUGCAGCAUGAGAAUGAAAACUACCAGAACCAGGAAGUACCUCUCACACAAACUGGUUGAGGUACUCAUCCACAGUUGUGUAUUUGACAUCAGGAUAUAGCUCUGAAGCCUCCACUCCAAAUGAUGGCUUGAUCUCAAAGUUGGUGUGGUCUCCCUUAACGAAAACAGAGUGACAGAAUGCUAACAUCACAUUGAGUGGAACAGAGGCUUCUGCAAGAAACAGAGGAAAACCAUCAAUCUGAAGACAUUUACCAUCAUUAAAACAUCAACUAUAUGAACAGAGUUUAGGGCCAAAAAAUGGCCUCUGUGGUAAAAAAAUUAUCCUAUGUAGGAACCUUCCCUAACUUACCAUCAAACUAGAACUCUUGAUGCCACCUAGGCACAAUUUUUUAUUUUUUCCCUUUUUUAGUCAUAGGUUGAAACUGCAUUUUGAAAAUGCGGUUUCUGAUUUUAUGUGAAGCCACAUUUUGAACAAUGGCUUGAAACAUGAUCCAAACUCAAUAUCAUUUGACCAAAACAGGCCUUUUUUACCCAAAGUUCAUAUAAACACGUGAUACUUCCAAGUUCAACCAACUCCUCUUUCUUUCUUCUUUUUAUUCCCUUCUUUUUUCAAAUCCAAUGAGCAAUAGUGAAUUGUUAGUCUGUCAUAUGAAUCUCUUAGGAAGACCUUAAUCACGGUCUGGGGCAUGAUCACCAGAUUUUACCAGUAGGCCAGCUAACAUUUUCUAAGAAAAAAGAAUUGAAUCAAGAACCAAUUACAUUUUAACAAUGCAGCAUAAUGGGAAUGCUCUAUUCCCAAUCUCUGUUCCAAUUUAAAUUACUAGGAAAACCAAAGUUUGAACAGUUUCAAAAAAUGAAAAUGUUUCUCACUAACCUUGGAUGUUCUUCAGAACUUGCUCCUCUGGAACAUAUAUCUUCUCAAGGGUUUUUCCAAUCUUCUUUUCCCAUAAGGAGACAAUUUCGUUGAAUGAGUAGGUGUUCUGAGGAGGCCUGAUGUAAAGGAUUUUGUUCAAGGUUCUAGGAUCAUCCGCAGCUUUAAUGGUAUAGGUGCCAAUGUCAUCCUCCUUGUUAAAAACAGCUGGAGAUGCAAAAAUGAAAUGAGUAAAAUAGAGUAGAAUCAUCUUCCUAUUCCUUCAAGCUUGGACUACUCCGUAAUUCCACUUUUUUUGUUUACAGAACACAAACUUGAAAUUAUUUUGAUAUGAAACCAAGUUAUUGUUUUCAUUUAAUGCUCAUGUCAAAAACUCUCAGCUGGAGAGCAACCCAAGAGGACUGUCAAUAUAAAAAAAGAGGCUUUAGCCCAUCCAGUUCAGAUAAUAAUGAUUAAUUACUAGAAGUGCACAAUGGUUCCUCAGUUUGACCACUCCAGGUCACAUGGAUCAUGCUAGUUUCCUGUAUUAUGGCUCAAUUGCAAUGUAGCACCCAAGCAGUCAACCUCAACUGUCGGAAGGUUUUGUUUCUGGGUGAACGGGUUUAACCAGCUGGGGAAAGGGGGAGUGGGGUGGGGUUGUCCAGGUUUCAAAUAGCCACAUUCUGAUUUUCAGGAAUAUAGACCAUUCUCACCUCAACAACGCUGGCAACCCCAUCAAUUUUUUUGCCUGGAGAAGGAUAAUAUGCAGCUAUUGGUUGGUGAAAUGGUAAAUUACACUCUCAAAAGGAUUCCAUGCUCAUCUACAUAACCCGCUGAUUAGUAUUACUUUUUAAGCCCACUAUCAUCAGAUGUCACUGAUACAUGGACCGGUGCAUUCUAACAUCAAAACGAGAAAAUGCAAUGGGAAAUUAAGUUGUAUGAUUUUCAGAGGUUGCUUACCUUUUGGAUUCCCAUCUCCUAAAAUAAUAACUUUAUCCCUGGGGGGAGCGGUGGCUCCAGGCUGUGAAAAUGUAGGAAGGAAAAAGCCAGCAAAUGUGUUGGAGGACACAUAGGUGUAGGGAAUUCCUUCAGCCUCAAUAGUGCGGCGGAUUUGAGCCUUUAUCUCAAAGGCUGUUUUUGCUGGCUCAACCGCAUGUACACGGUCCACAUCAUUUCCAAACUCUGAUGGGAAGAAUCUCUGGAUGAAAUAAAGCACUUUAAGAAGAAGCUGUAUAACUCAAUAGAUUGAAAAACGGGUCAUAUCUAUUUAGUCAUAUUAGCUCACGACAGGGAUCCUAUAUGGGAUACACUUUGACGAACUUGAUACAAGUGUUCAGCAACCAUAAAGACAUACAAUUAGCAAUUCAAACGAUGGAAGGAAAGAGUGCACUGAUCAGGAUUCUUAAAAAGUGAAAGAAAAAACCAUGUAAGAAAUGUGAAAAAAAAAACUACCAAACUUCAUUCAUAGAAGGAAAAUGCGCACUAAUCAGGAUGCUUAGAAGAUGGAAGAAUAAAAACUAAAUGAAAACAGGAGAAAAAAAAAAAAAAAAACUUCAUUCUUGUUUAGUUGUCUUGCUGCUUUUUGAAGCCUUUUGUAUACCAUUUGUCUACAUUGGGUGUGCUGUCUUUUUUUGUUAGGCGCUUCUCUGUUAAUAUAGUUUGUUUUUAGCCUAUCAAAAAAAGGGGGGGGGGGGGGUGGUGGUUGUGGGUGUAUACAAUGGAUUGGAAGUGGUAUAGCAUGCCCCAUGAAAGGGAAUUAGUAUUUAAAAUUUUUUCCUUUUUACAUCAAAAAUUAAGAUUGACUUUAAAGCAUCGAUCCAACCUGAGUCAAUGCACAUGGAUCUAGACAAGAAUCAAGAUUGUUGAUCCUCAAUGAAUAUUGUAUAUAUGGAAUGUUCUUUCAUGCACUUCCAACAUUUCUAAAGAAGGUAUUAUUACAUUAUGCACAAAGGAUAAAGAUAUCACCAACAAAUUAUAACAAAUUCCAAUAAUAAAUAUCAUAGUACUCGGAUUUGCAAAGAAAAGAGGGAAUUAGAAAGAAGAAAAGGAGAAAAGGAGAGAAAUUUCGUCAAUUUGGACAACUUUACCUUGACAUUUCCAGCUUCUUUGAUGGCAGCAAUGAUCUUGACUUGAUCCGACAACUGUGCGCGACCAACGGUCGAGAUGACCACAUCCACUAGAUUAAUCGCCUUCACCAAACUCUCGUGAUCGUAUAGAUCACCCUGCAACAUAACAUAACCAAUCAAUAAACUAUUUCAUAACCCUAAUUCCCCAGUUAAGAAGUAAGAAUCCAAAAGCAGGUGUGUUUUUUCACUUUACUGAAACCAAAAUAACUUAAAACAUAAACAUCCGAACUUUUCUUUUCCUGAGGAUCGCCACUUUUUUCUUUCUGGAUGAAUGAAGAAUUCCAGUUUUCGUUUUUUUAGGAACUUAAACAUCCAAAAAUUCAAGAACUCCAAUUAAUUUCAUUCAUUUUCUCGGCGGCCAAAAGAAGCAAAAAUUAGAAAACCAAGAAUAGCGAGAAAUGAGAGCGAAUAUUACGUACAUACACCAAAGUCACGCCGGAGCUCUUGAAAAUCUCAAUGAUUUCCGACUUGGAAGGAUUCGAAACGGCGGAUUCUCUGACGAGAGCGAAGGUAGGGUGACCGGACUUAGCGCUGGCAGCGACGAUGAAUUUUCCGAUGUAGCCAGUGCCGCCGAUUAUGAGAAUCUUGCUCUUUUCGGACAUUGUGAGCUUUUCCGGCGAAUCUCCCGCGAGAAAUGUGGAAUUGAGAGGACUAAGCGAAAGGUGACUGGAGAGUUGGUGGGCACCAACGGCCAAAGACAAUGCUCUUGUAGGACAGAGCUCGAGGAUAUUAGGAUUAUGUAAUUACGGAACUAGCCUUGUGUUUUGGUGGUAAUCUCCGUUUUGGUUAUAUUUUGAAUGUGGCUUGAUUUUUAUGUGAUUCAUGAAUGUGUCAAAGUUCGCUUGUUUGAAAAUUGGUUUAGAUUGGAAAGUGAAAAAGUGUAUAUCACAUGAGAGAUUUAUAAAUAGAAAAAAAUGUAUUUUCACACACUAAUGUAAAAAUAAUUACAAAAUAAAAACUCUUUAAAUAAUUAUAAAAUAAAAACCCUUUAAAAAUAAUUUAAAUUUUAUGCACUCAUCGAGUACAUGAAAUGAUAAUUUAAUAUAGUUAUGUGUAACGACCCGCUCUCCCAAUAAUGACUCCCCUAGCUUUAAAAAAACGUCUUUAGGAUUAAGAUUGAUACUAUUUAUAAUAACUCGUAAAACCUAAAAAGGUCAUCACGACUUUAAAAUGCGUUUGCAAGAUUAAAAAAAAAUAAAAAAAAUUAUACUUAGAUAGUGUUAGGAACUUUCUCCCCUAUCUGAUGUGUGAUGUUACAAAUAUCCCCCAUGCAGACACAACAUCCUUGUUGUAUCUCAUGGAAUUGUGGAAUUAGAAUGAUAAUUUAAUGUAAUUAUGUGUAACGAUCCACCCUAUUUGAUGUGGGAUGUCACAAAUAUCCUCAUGCAGACACAACGUCUUUGUUGUAUCUCAUGGAAUUGUGGAGUUAAAAUGAUAAUUUAAUGUAGUUAUGUGUAAUGACUCGUUGUCCCAAUCAUGUAGAUAUUAUUCGUUUUGGACCCAAAAAAUGACUUUCCUGACUUUAAAAAAACGUCUAUGUGAUUAAGAUUGAUAUCGUUUAUAAUAACUCGCAGAACCUAAAAAGGUCCCCACGACUUUAAAAUGUGUUUACAAGAUUUUUAAAAAAAAUUAUACUUAUAUAGUGUUAGGAACUUUCUCUCCAUAUGAUGUGAGAUGUCACAAACAUCCCUAUGCAGACACAACGUCCUUAUUAUAUCUCAUGGAAUUAUGGAGUCAAAUAGACAAACACUCCCUAUGAGGCAAACAAACUCCCACACCGAAAUCAGAGAUCAAUUCCGAUAUUAUUUGUAACGAUCUACUCUCAAUUAUAUAAAUAUUGUCCAUUUUAAUCCGAAAGGGCAUUACAGUUUUAAAACGUGUGUACAGGAUUAAGAAAAGCCUUUACAUAUACAGUGUCAUGAUUUUUUUUUUCCUAUCGGAUGUGAGAUGUCAUAUUAUGAAUCCGUCAUUCUGUCUUUAUUCAUUUGUUGCAUUUAAGAUAUUUGAAAAAUUGAGCGAUUUUAUAAAAUGAGUUUUGAAAAGGCAUGAGAGAAGGAAAAAGAUACUAGUUUAAUUAAGGCUUACAACCCGGUCUUCUUAAAGGGUGGUUAAAUUCCCUGCCUAUUAAAUUUCUUAUCAGGUCGUUAGUCAAUGGAUCUAUUAAAUUCUAGUAUGACUUUGUAGAGUAGUAAUUACUCCAUGGGUGAGUAAUUAUUAAUAUGUAGCUGGGAUCAUUAGUAUAUUUUACUACAUUUCCAAUAGAAAAUGCUACCUCAAAUAAGUUACAUGUCUCCGCGAGACACUCAAGAAUUUCAGCAUAUUCCAAGACUUGACUUCCAAGUUAGCCAAAAGACAUGGAUAUGAGAUUUCAAUUGAAAUGAUUAAACCUUUUUAGAAUGUUUUCACUAUAAUUUCAUCGGCACAAAAAAAUAAUUAUAAAACACUAAAAUCUCUUUUAAAAACAUGUCUUUUAUUUUUAAAUUUAAACACUUACUCAUCAUUUUUAUUAGGAAUGAUAAUGAGACAAGUUUUUUUAGAUAUUUGUCUGCCUUGUUCUUAAUGAAAUGGGUUUAAAAUUUAAAUAAACGAAAUUAGAAUGAAUUUGGGAUUUUUUUAAAAACUUGGUACUAGCUAUUGUCUUUUCUCAUCCUAUCUAAAUUAUAUAUAAAAUUAAUUUAGUUUUAUUUUUAUUUCCCUAUUUGAUAUAUAUAUAUAAUUAUUUAUAAAAUACAUUUAUUUUAAUGUAAUUAAAUUUAAAAAAAUCAAAAUAAAUAAAUAAAUAAGACGAGAUGGGCAUGAAAAAUUCACAUACCUACCUUAUUUAAUUUUUUAAAUAAGAUAGAAAUGAGAAUUAUUUUGAAUAAACAAGAUAAGGUUGAAAUGAGAUCAACUCGUCUUAAACUAGUCUCGUUGCUAUCUCUAUUUUUUAUACUUUUUUAGUUGAAAGGGAUAAAUGAAUUAAAGUUAAGGAUUAAGAUUAAAUAUUCUACUUUACAAAAAAAAAAAUGAGACUAUUAAAUAUUAUUAGAAUUUUAUCAACUAGUCAUAAGAGUUUAAAAAAGAAAAUAUUGAUGAACAAUUCGUAGGAGGAAAUGAAUUGAGAAUAAAUUGACCUAGUGAACCUUCAGUUGCAUUGCCUCCUACUAUGUUCCACUUAUUCAGAAACGAAAGAGAAAGGAUGAGGGAUCUAUAACUAUAAGUUAAAAGGACAAAGGAUCAGGACAAAUAGAGGAUAUAUAUUAUGAGAUAUUAUUUCUAAUAGAAUAUGAUAUUUUAAAAUAUUGCAUUUAAUAUCAUUUAGAAAUUCUUCUCUUAUUUUUAUUUUAAUAAAUAAUUUUUAGUAUUUUAGUAAUAAUGUUUAUGAUUAUAAAUAAUAUAUAUAUAUAUAAAAUUAUAUUAUAUACUAAUAUGCUAAAUAUUUAAAAGCAUUACUAGUAAUUAAAUGAUACUAUAUAUUAAUAUGAUCAUUAUAAAUUUUAUUAUACAUAUAUUUUUUAAUUCUUUUAUUAAGAAGAAUAAAUUUAUAAUGUCAGUUAUACCUUAGGAUUGUUGUAUUUAACAUAUAGAGAUACAAAAGCGAGGAAAAAUGCAAAAGAAACUAUGAUUGAGUUAUUCUAUCAUUUACCGACCAAACAUGAUACAAAAUAUAUUAUCUCAUCUUUUAUCUUAUAUUAUAUUAUAUUCAACAAACUAAACAUAACAUAAUAGACCGACAUUCUAUCAAAUUUCUCGUAUUGUGAUUUUAAAACUUGAAUAGUUCAUGAACUAAACAUUAUUGCCUUUUCUUGUCUCAAUGGAAUAAGCGUUUUAAUUGUUCUAUAUGCAUUUCUUCAUCAAGCUCCCUCUUUUGAGCUAGAAAUAUUAUAUUAGGAGCUAGGUACUCCUUUUUGUAUAGCUCCAUCUCUAAUAAGGUACCAAAGAAGAUAAACUACAAAGGCAAAGAAAAUCUAAUUCCAGAAACUUCUACUUGCAUAAGAUUAGAAAGGCACAUUGUCCUAUUACAGAAUAUGCCCAAUGGCAUAGACAAGGAAAUAACCCACUAUUUUCCACACAACAUAUAUUAAGACAGCUGCACAUGUUUGCUUGUUUAGAUAGUGCAGCAUGACAGUGAAAACUACCAGGACCGAAGUCUACCUCUCAAACAAGCUGGUUGAGCAACUCAUCCACAGUUGUGUAUUUGACAUCGGGAUAUAGCUCUGAAGCCUCCACCCCAAAUGAUGGCUCGAUCUCAAAGUUGGUUUGGUCUCCCUUAAUGAAAACAGAGUGAUCGAUUGAUAAUAUUGCAUUGAGUGGAGCAGAGGCUUCUGCAAGAAACAGAGGAAAACCCAUCAAUAUGAAGAUUUUAGCCAUCAGAUCAACUAUAUAAACAGAUUUUGGGGCGAAAAUAGCCUCUAUAACUGAAAAAUUAUCAUAUGUGGAUACCUUCUUUAACUUAUUAUCAAGCUAGGCCUCUUCAUGUCACCUUGGAGUCAUUUAAUUUAAUUUUUUCCUUUUUAAAUGUAAGUUGAAAAUGCAUUUUGAAAAGAGUGUUUGGACACACGAGUCAAAAUAAUUAUCAAAUUGUAAAAAUAACCCUUUUUUCAAUUUUGUUGAGAGAUCCCAGCAGUCAAAAUAAUCAUAUAAUCAAACCCAGUCUUUUUCUUCCCAACCUUUUUUUUUUUGGCCUUAUCUUAAACUUGCUCUAUUUCUUUUUCAUUUAAGACACUCCAGAAAAACUCAAUCUCAUUUCAUAAUGUCCCACUGAAUUUUCUUAUCUCUCAAACAACUUCUCAUUCUCAUUCGUGAUGUUCACCUAAAGUGUUCUAUGAUUAAAUUUUAUUUAUUACGAAUUUAACUAAGGUGAAAUUUUCAUUAAGAUUGGUUAGCUGAAUUGCACUAGUGUUAUGUUUGGUUGUAAAAAACUUAGUUAGAGUUAAAUUUUCAAUCAUAAUAGUAAUAUGAACUCCACUAUGGUUAAGUUUUAUUUACAAAAAACUUAAGUGGGGUUAGAUUUCUAUUUCAUCUACAAAGAACCUGAUUAUGGUAACUUGAACAAUCCUCUGGUUAAGUUUCAUUUAGAAAGAACUUGAUCAGGGUUAAGUUUCCAUUUCACCUAUAAAGAACUUAAGUAAGAUCAAGGUCUUAAUUAAAAUGUUCAUUUGCAUUGAACUACCAAAACAUCGGACUUAGUAAAAACAAAGUUAGAUGAGAGAUCUAGUAAAUGAUAAGUUUCUAUCUGAUCUCGUCGUCAACAUUGUAGAAGUUCAAAUGAAAUUGCAAAAUAACCCUAAUAAAAAAAAAAUUAGAAAAAACCUCUAACCAAAAACAAUGACAAAAAACAAAACUAAAAACAAAGAGAAAGACGAGAUUCGAUCUCAUUUUCGUCACUAUAGAAACUUACAUGAAACUACAAAAAACCUUAGCAAAAAACAACGACGAAAAACAAAGAGAGAUGGAGAUCUGACCUCAUCUUCUAUAUUGUAGAAGUUCAAAUGAAGUUGCAAAACCCCUAACAAAAAACAACUCCUAAAAUUUGAAAUAGAUAAGGCUCUAAUCUUUGUUCAAGGGUUUGAACUUCACCAGAAAAAGAGAUAGAACAUGAACUUAGAGAGAAGGAGAAGGCUAGGUAUAAAAAAAUGGAAGGGGCAUUUUUGGAGGAAAGAAAGAAGAGUAAAAAUGUCCAAAAUUGGUCAUUUCUCAAAGGGAAGUCAUUAUUUCGAUUUUAAAAGCAUUUUAGUCGACUUCAAUCGAGGUCCGGGGCAUGAUCACCAGAUUUUACCAGCAGGUCAGCUAACAUUUUCUAAGUUAAAAACAAUUUAACCAAGAACCAAUUUCAUUUUAACAAUCUAGCAUAAAGAGAAUGUUCUAUUCACAAUCUCUGUUCCAAUUUAAAUUCACUAGGAAAACCAAAACUUGAACACUUCCAAAAAGGAAAAUGUUUCUCACUAACCUUGGAUGUUCUUCAGAACUUGCUCCUCUGGAACGUAUAUCUUCUCAAGGGUUUUUCCAAUCUUCUUCUCCCACAAGGAGACAAUUUCGUUGUAUGAGUAGGUGUUCUGAGGAGGCCUGACGUAAAGGUUUUUGUUCAAGGUUCUAGGAUCAUCCACAGCUUUAAUAGUAUAGGUGCCAAUGUCAUCCUCCUUGUUAAAAACAGCUGGAGAUGCAAAAGUGAAAAUGAGUAAGAUAGAAUAGAAUCACCUUCUUAUUCCUUCAAGCUUAGACUACUCUGUAAUUCCACCUUUUUUCUUUUACAAAACACAAACUUAAAAUUAUUUUCAUAUGAAACCAAGUUAUUGUUUUCAUUUAAUGCUUAUUUUUUCAAAAACUCUCAGUUGGAAAGCAAACCCCAGAGAACUGUUGAUAAAAAAAAGAGGCUUUAGCCCAUCCUGUUCAGUUUAAAACCCAAUAAUAAUUAUUAGUUACUGGAAAUGCAUAAUGGUUCCUUCAGUUCAACCCCUCCAGGUCACCUGGAUCAUGCUAGUUUCCUGGAUUAUGGCUCAACUGCAGUGUCACACCCAAGCAGUUGACCCCAGCUGUCCGGUUUUCAAAUAGCCACAUUUUGGUUUUCAGGAAUACAGACCAUUCUCACCUCAACAACACUGGCAACCCCAUCAAAUUUUCUGCUUGGAGAAGAUAAUAUGCAGCUAGUGGUUGAUGAAUGCACAUUCAAAUAACCCAUUGAUUAGUAUUACCUUUUAAGCCCACUAUCAUCAGAUGUCAUUGAUCAUGGGAGCGAGUGCAUUCUAAGGUCAAAAGAAGAAAAUGAAACAGAAUUUCAGUUGUUUUACGAUUUUCAGAGGUUGCUUACCUUUUGGAUUACCAUCUCCUGGAAUAAUAAUUUUAUCCCUGGGGGGACCAGUGGCUCCAGGCUGUGAUAAUCUAGAAACGAAAAAGGCAGCGGUGGCUUCAAGCUGUGAUAAUCUAGGAAGGAAAAAGCCAGCAAAGAAGUUGGAGGACACGUAGGUGUAGGGAAUCCCUUCAGCCUCAAUAGCGCGGCGGAUUUGAGCCUUUAUCCCAAAUGCUGUUUUUGCAGGGCCAACCGCAUGGAUACGGUCCACAUCAUUUCCAAACUCUGAUGGGAAGAAUCUCUGGAGGAAAUAAAGCACUUUGAGAAGAAGUCAUAUGACUUGAUAGAUGAAAAACCACUCAUAUCUAUUUAGUCAUAAUAGCUCACAGACAGGGAUCAUCCAUGGGAUACACUAUGAUGAACUUGAUACAAGUGUUCAGCAAGAAUAAAGUUACACUUAGCAAUUCAAAUGAUGGAAGGAAGAAGUGCACCGAUCAGGAUGCUUAAAAAGUGAGAGAAAAAACUAAAUGGAGAAGGUGAAGAAAAAAGCUACCAAACUUCAUUCAUGAAAGGAAAAAGUGCACCAAUCAGGAUGCUUAAAAAGUGGAAGAAAAAACUAAAAGAAAAAAGGUAAAAAAAAAAAAAAAAAAAACCCACCAAACCUCAUUCUGUCCUGAAUCACUUCAGUUUUAAUUUUUAAUUUUUAAUUAUUUAAUUAGUGCUCAAAACAUUUGACACUAUUAAAUUAGUCAUUUGACAUAAUGUAUAUGAUGUUAUCCAAUACCCUAUGUUUGUUGCAUAAGUAUAGUCUCCUUACACAUGGGUUCAAUAAAUUGAGAAAAUGAAUAAACGGUGAAGUUUGAACAAAUGAUUUCCAACCAAAAAAAGGAUCUUAUGCCAUGUUGGACAACCGAUUUACCUAAAACUUAAGUUGUUAGGAUUUAAGCCCACGGUGUAUAUCAUGUUGCCCAUCAGUAUCUAUAUCCAACGAAAGGUCAAGAACCUCCUUGAAACGAUCCUAUUCUAACUUGCCCCUAGCUGCCAAACCCUCAAGGGCAUUAGCCUAAGGGCACAAAGUCAAUAUAGCUCAAGAACCUUCCUGAGAUGUUCCUAUUCCAGCUGACCCUAGCGGCUAGAUCUUCAAGGGCAUUAGCCUAAGGGUGCAAAGUAAAAACCAAGUUUGAGAACCUCCUUGAAAGGACCCGAUUAUAAUUGGUCCCUGGCAGCUAGGCCUUCAGGGACAGAGCAUAUGAGUGUAAAGCCAUUCCAGGACAAGAACCUCCUUAGAAGGACCCCAUCACAAUAGACCCCUAUUGGAGCCUAAGAACAAAAAAUGAAUAAUCAUAUGAAGAAAUAAUAAAACAAAGCAUAAAAGAUAGAAGAGAAGAUAAAAAUAACAAUAUCCUAUGCCACCUCAUUGUCCCCUCCUUCCUUGGAUGAUGCCUCGCUUUUAUCAUUGUCCUCCUCAUCGAUUUCCCCCAAGGCCUUCAUUCGACCCAUGAGCUUGUCGACUUUCAAAAAAUGCUCUUGCAUUAUUGAACCUUAUGAAUAAAAUUAUCUUUUACCACUGUCCACAAAUGAUUUUUUUUUUAAAAGAAUGGCUUUGUCUUAGAGUUCUAUCCUUUUCUUUCUGUUUCUCAUGGAUAAAAAAAACCCCAACCCAAAUAUUUUUUUAUAACAAGGAUAAUUUUUUAUACCUAAAGAAUUAAAAUCGACUUUCAAACACCUAAGCGUUGAGACUCAACUCAAUCCAACCUCAGUCAAUUAACAUGGAUCCAGCAAGAAAAGAUUGUUCAUCCUCAAUGAAUAUUGUGAAGAUGGAAUGUUCUUCCAUGCCUUUUCAACACUCUCAACAUUUCUAAAGAUGGUAUUACUACAUCAUGCGCAAAGGAUAAAGGAAUUACCGACAAAUUAUUACAAAUUCCAAUAAUAAAAAUCAUAGGAACUUGUAUUUGCAAAGAAGAGAUGGAAAUAGAAAGAAGAAAAGGAGAGGAAGAGAUUUCGUCAAUUUGGACGACUUUACCUUGACAUUUCCAGCUUCUUUGAUGGCGGCAAUGAUCUUGACUUGAUCCGAGAACUGUGCGCGACCAACGGUCGAGAUGACCACAUCCACUUGCUUAAUCGCCUUCACCAAACUCUCGUGAUCGUGUAGAUCUCCCUGCAACAUAACAGAACCAAUCAAAAAACUAUUUCAAAGCUGUAAUUCUUCAAUAAGAAGUAAGAAUUCAAAAAUUGGUGUGUGUUUCCACUUUGCUGGAACCAAAGCAAAUCAAAACAUAAACAUCCAAAAUUUUCUUUUCUUUUCCUGCGAAACACUACUUUUUCUUUCUUUCUGGAUGAGUGAAGAGUCUCAGUUUUCUUUUUCUUAGGAACUUAAACUUCCAACUCCAAUGAACUUCGUUCAUUUUCUCCGCGGCCAAAAGAAACAAAAACUAGAAAAGAAAAAAUGGCGAGAAAUGAGAGCGAACAGUACGUACAUAUACCAAAGUCACGCCGGAACUCUUGAAACUCUCAAUGAUUUCCGACAUGGAAGGAUUCGAAACGGUGGAUUCUCUGACGAGAGCGAAGGUAGGGUGACCGGACCUAGCGCUGGCAGCGACGAUGAAUUUUCCGAUGUAUCCAGUGCCGCCGAUGAUGAGAAUCUUGCUCUUUUCGGACAUUGUGAGUUUUUCCGACCAAUCUCCGGCAAGAAAUGUGGAAUUGGAAAAGGCUAGCAAGCAGUAAGCAAUGACGACUGACGAGUAGUGCAGUACUGCAGUGUUCUUAUAUAACAAAGCUUGAGGCUAUAUAGAUUAUGUAAUUACGAAACUAGCCUUUUCUUUCAGCAGUAAUUCCCGCUUUGGUCAUCAUAUGUAUGUGGCUCGAUCUUUGUAUGAUUCACGUGUCCCGAUUCAUAUUUGUUUGAAAAUCGGCUUAGAUUAGUCCAAUUUACAAGACUACACCAUCUUUAAUUUGACAAGAGCAUAUAAUAUAUAUAUAUAUUGUAGCAAUCAUUAAUAUUUUAUUUUAUUUUUGGCACGUGUAAUUUUAUCUCUAGCUCCCAUAUCUUAUUUUAUUGCACACUUUUGACUCCGUUUGGCCAUAUUGAUAUAUAUCAUAGAUUUGCCUUAGAUUUUGGUUAAUAAAAUUUUAAUCAUUAUUGCACGUUUUUAUUCUCCACCCAUGUUUAAUAGUAUAUUUUAGAGACUUAUCGUGGAUAACCACCCCUUCACCUCUCCUACUGAAUUGUCAUUUGAUAUUGCUUGGGGAUCCCACAGAGUUGUCUAGUUGAUAGGUUGAUAAAAUUUACAUGCACGGUCAUUUUCAUGUCCUUAAAGCAAAUACAAAUUAAAAUGUGAUCGAUUGAUGCUAAGAUUUGAAUUUAUCUAUUUAAUAUAAAAUUGUCAUGGUCAAAUGUUUAUUGCUACUCCACGAUAGAAUGAUGAUUUUUAUUUUUGUGACAGUAACAUUUCAAAUUAUAAAAAACAAUGAAUUAAACAAUAUUUUUAUAUUCUUUACAAAAUCUUGGAUGUUUAAAAUUAGACCCUUUAAAUAGACACGUGACUUAAAUGGAAUACCAUAUUUGGGAAUGCACUACACUUAACUUGGAUUGGAAUAUAAUUCAAAAUGGAUAACAAUUAGGAAUGCACCAUGCUUAUUUGGAAUUAAGGGAGAGAGGGAUGACUGUUGGAAUCAUGAAAUGUUAUGGAACGGACCCCUUUUUAAAGAUGUAGAUGUCCCUUAAAGAAACGCUUCCAUCAAAAGAGUUGCACCUAACUAAUAAGAGAUGGGAAUGACUUCCAAAAAAUGUAUCACUUCAUGUUGGUGGCCUUUUUAUUAAACCUAGAAGCAUGUGGGGUUAGGCUCACACAUAUCUGGUGUGGCUUGUGCACAUGUGAGCCUAUGUUAGGCCCAAGUCCACAUUCAUCUAGUUGGAUAUAUGCAUAUGUGAGUUUAUGUAAAAACCCAUGUUUUCUUUUAAGCUUACAAAAUACUUGUAAAGUACCUUUUCGACUAGUGAUCUUCUAAGAAACGCUUCCAUCAAAAGAGUUGCACCUAUCUAAUAAGAAAUGGAAAAGGCGUCUAAAGAAGAUCUCACUUUAUGUUGUUGGUGACCUUUUUUCAAUGUUUUUAAAAUUGGACCGAUUAUUAAAUAUAAAAAAAUUACUCAUUCACGGUUCAUUAAUCGGACUGACAGUUGAACCAGUAACGUCAUAAAUAUAUAAUUUAUAAAUUAUUAAAAUAAAAAUAAAAAUGUAUGUAUUGUUUAAAAAUUAAAAUUUUAUUUGAAAAUCAGAAAAUUAGUUUUAAAAUUAAAAUUAAAAUUAAAAUCAUGGGGGGGAGGGGGAGGGGAGGGGGUUCGUUCUGCCAGUGAGAGAGCGACGUCCGACCAAUCAGCAAUUGACGAUAGUGGGAAGAAGCAGCUAGGGUAGUAGGGUAAGAGGGGUUAUUGGAAAAAAUAAUAAUAAUAAAAGAAAGGUUGAACGGUUCAAUGGUCAAAUCGUCGGUUCAAUCGGUCUAAUUCUGGUUUGACUACUUUUCGACCUAAUUCAUCAAACCAAACCGAAAUUGUGACUUGCUGGUUCGAUCCAAUUUUUAAAACCGUGUAUUUUUAUUAAACCUAAAAGGUGGGUGUAGGAUCACACCUAUCCAAUGUGGCUUGUGCACACGUGAGCCUAUGUUACGCCCAUGUACACAUUCAUCCAAUUAGGUCCAUGCAUAUGUGAGUUGAGGUUAAAAACCAUGUUUUCUUUUUACCUUACAAAAUACUUAUAAAGUACUUUUUCUGACUACUAAUCUUCUAAUGUGGGAUUGCUUUUUUCCACCACAUUCCACAUGAAUGCAUAGGUAACUUUGAGCUCAAUUUGUCAUUAACCCAUAAAUGGUUUUGAGUAUGUAAAUUUCUUAUCCACCAAUACCUACUCGUGCAGACGUUAUUGGUUAUCAUUUGGAGAAAGGUGUCCAACCUAUUGAUUGUUGUAAUUUAGAUUGUCCCAAUUCUAAUAGUUGUGGUUUUAAGGCCUAGAAUUGUUUCGUUGAUUCUCAUCUUAACCCUUCUCUUUAUUCAAUGACUUCCCUUGAAAGUAUUAUUUGAUGAUCUCCUAUCAGGGGGUUGGUCUCUUUCUUAUCUUCUCUUCUUUUUAAAUAGUCCAUUACCUUAUCAUGCAAUUCUUUAAAUGAGAUAGCAGUAUCACAAGCUCUCACAACAACAGUGGUCUCUUUGUAUUUUGAACCUAAUUCAUUGAGAGUGUAAACCACCAGAUCAUCAUUGUGCAAGAGUGAACUAAUAAUAGUAAGUUCAUCAACAAUACUUUCGAAGAUUUGGAUGUAUUCACUAAUAGUUUUUUGUUCUUUGAUCGUUUUUAUAGCCUUUCCCAUGAGGUUAGGAUGCAUGACCUUGAGUAAUUGGCAUUAAGUUUUUUUGGGUGAGACCAUGACUCUAAUGCCUUAGUAGCACAAACCACAAAACAAAAAUAGACUCCAAACUACAAUCUAACAUGAGAUGAAAUAACAAAUUAUUUUAAGGUUAAUUUUGUUGACUUUCCAUGAGGUUUUGACUAAAUAUAUUUAGUUCAUAUUAGUUUGAAAUUUCAUCAAAUACCUCCUCUACCCUUCUCACAAAUUAUUUCACUUACCUGUCUUCUAACUCAAAAUAAAGGAAGUAUUUGACGAUAUUUUAAAUUUAUAAAAACUAGGUAUAUUUAACCAAAACUUGAGGGAAAGUAAGUGAAAUUAACCUAAUUAUCUUACUUUUAAUAUAGCCAAUAUUCCAUAUCUCGUAUUGGUACUUUCCUUCUCCUUUCAAAUUGUUGUAGAAGGGCAAAGAUAUGACCGUUGUUACAUGUGCUAAAUCAUAGUAGUAUAUAAAGAAGCAUGCGGAACUAAACUCUUCACAAUGGAAAGUUUUUAAUCGUAGUUACAUCACUACAUCAAUCAACUCUGUGGUGCUAAUUUGGUAAAAUGUCAAAAGACUUUGACCCAUUAAAGGUAAAAAAGAAUAAAAAUAAAAAUUUGUUGUAGCAAUGGAUACUCUAAAACCAUAAAUACAAAGAAUUUAUAUAACCUAUCACUCGUAUUAUUUUACAUUGUAUAAGUUUACAAUAGAAAUGAUCGACUAAAUAUACAUUGGUAAUAUUAUAGCUUAGGGUCAAAUGUCAUGCGUUAUGAAUGUAAAGAAAAAUUGAACUUGAUGAUUUGGUUGAGCCUUUAUUUGCCAUUAAUAUAUGCCUUUAUGGACUGUCCACUGUAAAUUCCUUUCACUCCUCUCAUUGAAGAAUGAAACUCCACACUUUAUUCAAGUUUAAAAUGUUUUCUUGCAUAUUAAGGAGGAAAUUAAAAAAUAAAUAAAUAAAUAAAGGAAAGGAAAAUGAUCCGUUAAAAAACUAUAUUAUGAAUGUUAGAUAUCUUAAAAAACAAAAAAAUAUAUAUUUGUAGACCCCAUUUUGGGGAGCUGUCAUUUUUCUCACGUUUCCUUUCUUGCAGCUAGCUGUGGCCAAGUGUCACCAUCUUGCAUGGCCACGUGUCACUCCCGGAUUAGUCAAUAUGGGAUCAAAAUAGUGGAAUUGAUGGACCCAUCAGAGGAAGACACCUGGAAAGUGAAGAACAUUCUGGAAUCAGGGGAGCGUAUCUUCUGUUAUGGGAAGGUUGCCAGCUGCAGGAGUAGAGGAGUGGAGGCUGGUUGCUGCAGAGAGAGUGGAGGCUGGCAGAGGAGUGGAGGAGAGGUUUUGCUUUUGAAAAGGCCGUUAGAGAUAUUUUUAGGAUGAGGCAGCGGCAUUGAAGGGGAGAGUUUGGAGAGAUUCUUGAGGAGCAAGCUAGAUAUUGAAAAGAGAGAACGAGACAGAGAGAGCUGCAUUGAGAGGGAGGGAUUUCUUUUAAGCUGAGGCUGGUUGCUGCAGAGAGAGUGGAGGCUGGCAGAGGAGUUUUGGAGAGAAAGAGAAGGGUUUUUGGAGAGAAAGAGAAGGGGUUUUGGAGAGAAAGAGAAGGGUUUUUGGAGAGAAAGAGAAGGAGUUUUGGAGGGAACAGAGAGCUAGAGGGGGAGGAAAAACACUAGGAAGAAAAACAGAGAAAUCAGAAGAGACGGUUUUGGGUAGAGGAGGUUAUCAAGAACCAGAAGAAAAGGGCCUCCAGGUUCUUUUUGAGGGGUAAGUUUUCCACUGUGUUCUUGUUCUUUCUUUUUCUCUUCAUAUAUUGUUGUUGAGAUGCAUUGUUGUUGAUCUUUGGAUGGGUUAUACUCUGUUCUUCAUGGUUGACUGCUCCCCUUUUGCUUCUGUUUAUGGCUGAAAAUUGAUUUAAAUCCAUUUUUACCUUCUUUGUGGCAUUUUAAAGAAAGAAAAAGACCUUUUAAUUCACCCAUCUGCAAACCCACUAAUGAAGAGGUGAAGCAUAGUUCUUCAUGCUUCAUCUCAUUUUUCUUCCUCCAUGGCUCUGUUUUUGCUACUUUUCUCUCUGCUCUUCGUGUUUGGACUUUCUUGGAUAUGAAGCCGUAAUGGGGAGUGAGGCUAUGGGAUGACGAGACAGUGAGGGAUUUGGACUCCUUGAAUCCGUUUAUCCUGUAAAGGCUACUAAGGGCUUGGUAGAUCAAUGUUUGAGCAUAUGAACAGAGAGUGGUCUACACCGGGGAUACCAUUAUUGCCAGUGAUCCGUGUGGCAGAGGUUAGUGGGCUGUAGAGAGGGGAUCCUUUCUGACGGAGCAAAGGAACAAGAGAUGAAUUCAUGGGUUUUCUGAAUUGUUUUCACUAAGAAGGAGUUCACCCAGUACUCUUAGGCCUAAGAAGCUCGGCAUUUCUUUGCAAACAUAAGAAGCACAGGCUGGAACUAUGGAGGCCAUAGGUUUUACAUGGUAAAAAAGUGGGUUGACUGAGGAAUUGAGAAAGAAAUAAAGCAAGCAAAGCCGUCAUCGAAUGACGCCGGCGGCGAAGCGCCUCCACUUUGACUACGUCGUGCCCUCAGUUAUCGACUCUAACCACCGCUUCUCUAGUCUACGCGUGUCGCCGGAAGACUUGACGCUGAUCGUUUCUCUGCCUCUCUUUAUUUUCGGCUCUGUCAGGGGUCGAAACUCAUCCUCCGCUGGCGAUUGCGACGAGUGUCUCUCCUAGCUUAAGCCUCACGAUCAGCUUCGGCUGUUCCUGAUCUGCCGUCACGCUUCCCAUGCUCUAUACAUCAACACGCUGCUGGCAUCCAGUCAGGCAUGUCCUUGUAUCGUGUUCCGCAGGGAAUUCUGGGCCUGAUCUGCUCACUGUGGUGAGUGUCGCGCCAUGGAUUUUAACUGAUGGUGUCCCGACGAUUGACAAGAAGUUUUCCGGUGGAUGUGGUUCUUGGCGACGGAAGAAUCUUCGGUGGUGUGUCUAUGUACUUCGGCGAUCCUCUAAAGGACACUAAUCUCCCCAUUAGUUUACGCUGGUGACUGUGGAAGCAGAUUCCGCUUCAUCGGAAAACCCAAUCCUUCUCAAGUGCCUGGAAAAGCAGUCAUUUGUGAUCGGAACUUCACCUCGGCGCCCAAAGUCGCAGCGUUCUCCAACUGGUUUAGACAUCGACGAGAGACAAGUUGAUUUUAAUAUAAUUUCUGGCACGUCCAUUGCAUGUCCGUACGUGAGUGGAAAUAGCGACUGUGGCAGUGUACCCAAACGGCUUCACCACUCUCAAGCAUGAUGCUCUGAGAGUUGAAUUGAAAUGGAGGGGCGUUCUCAUAUUGCAAUUGUUGUUCCUAGAACUGAUGAGUCAAUCAGUAAAUUGGUUCAGCAACCUCAGAAGUUAAUAGAUCUCCGUGAGGUUCGCGAUAUUACUCAUAUGCCAUUUGCAGAAAGAGAUGACUGAAGGGAAACGGGUUCCUCUGAAUAUUACUAAAUUUGAUUAUGAAUGUUUGAGAAAGACCGCUGACAGUCAAGCAUAUUAAGGGGAUCCAUAUAAAGAAUUGUGGGUGUCCUUUGUUGACCGAGUUGGUCUUAGUCACAGAUAUCCUCAUCCAUGGCUGCUGAUAUAUCUCCUAAUUCUUCUUGAUGCUGCGGAAGAUAUUGUUGAAAUAGGAAAAACUGGGUGGAGAGAUCAAUUGUUACUCUGAUUUGAUUUUGGAUUGAAAAGGGAUGGGUUCAUUCAUGGAGCAUGUUCUGCCAGGAACGCUGUUUCUAGCAGUGAGUUUGUGGCACAUAUGCAGCGCAGUGGUGAGAUUUGUGAUGAACCCAAAGGGGUUUCAGGUUCGGGUUUUGAACCCAGUGUCUGGUUUUGAUGGAAGGCUUAGAUACUUGGAGCUUUAUGUGGUGGCAAUCGGAGCUUUUAUUGAUAUGUGCAUAGAGUUUUUGUAUUCAACUCAUCUCAAGUUCUUUGUGAAUGGGGUCUUGAACCCAUCUCACACGAAUGACUUUGAGCACUCUGGGAUGCUUCUCAUGUUCUUUAUUUUCGGGGUCGUCGCCUUGUUCUCCCAGCAAACCGGGCUUGUUCAAAACUGAAUAACCAAUGCUCAAUAGCCUUCACAUAGCUCCAUUCUGCCCUCACAUACUUCCAGCGCGUGACUUGUUUGAAUGAGAGCGACUUUUAUUGCCAAACAGUUACUUGGGGAACCGGUGACGUUACUCCUAUUGCAGGAUUGCUUGGCAAAUCUCAAUUCCAGAUUCACUUAGGAGGGAUCCUUGGCUGCUAAUUGGAAGGCUUCAAGACAGAAGGAAGCGAAGAGUGAUGAUACCAGGGAAGUGACUCAAUUAUCUACUCUACACUUGCCCGCUCAUGGCCCCAAAAUCUCAGAAGUGGUCAAGAAGUUGGAAGACUGCAUGUUCUGAAAUUGACCUAGCCUUUCAAAUCGGGUUCCCUACAUUGAAAUAAGAAGCAGUAGCAUGAGUUAUCCUCCAGAAUGGCUCUAUUCUCUGCAUGGUGCAUGGCCACCUUUGGGCCACAGUGCCAUUUCCCAUUUCACCAUCUCUAAUUUUGAAAAAUAUUCUUUUAAAUCCCAUUCUUCAAAUAAUUUUCUAGAUUUUAGUUUGUUUUAAAAUAAUUUCAAACUCGUCCACUUUUCAUCUUUAGUUUCUUUUUCUUAGAUUCCAAAAAUCCAUUUUUCCAAUAAAAUUUUGCUACCACUUUUCUUCCUAGCAAGCCAUUUUCAUAUCUCUUCUGUUUUUUUUAAAUUGUUUUGAAAUAAGCAAGAAUUAAUUCCGUAAUUCCGAAUAAUGGAAUUUAUGGAAUUAAUUCAUGCUAAGAUAAAUGGGCUUUGGUGGGGGCCCAACAUAUGAGAUUUUAUGAUUGAUUGACUGAUUGAUUGAUUCAUUAGCUAUAUGUGAUUGAUUUAUUCUGUUCCUUGGUAUACACAUUAUCCUUCUGUGUUUGUUCACUAACCCUGUUUCUGAUAGCACGUUACGGCUCGUGGCCCCGGUACGCACUCUCUAUACCUAUUCUGUUUCUCAUAUGUGCAUAAUUGAUUCGAGUAUUCAUUGCUUUCCUCAUCAAUUGCCACAUCAGCUUCAUUUUAUUAGUAGAGACCCGAUUUUAGGGACUUAGAGGGGUGCUAUGGUCUUUACCGUACCUUCCCGAUAAGUAACCUGACCCCCGAACCCGAUCCGGUUUUUCGUAGAUCACCUUUUCCAAAUAAGGAGUCACACUUAGGGUUUUUCUUUCUUAUUUUGUUUACCCUUUUAAAAAUAAAACAAAAAUACAGCUAAAAUCGAGCUCGCCAUUGAGUGGGAAACGCAUUGAGAUAGAUCGAAAUGCGGGGUCCACAACGCGUUCUUUUAUUCUCUUUAGUUUUAUAAAAAAGAUGGUAAAAAUGUAGUGAUCUUCUUUUAGUUUCUGUUUUAUAAGUGAGAGGGGACUAAGAUAGUAUUUAUUUUUUGACUGAAUAUAAAAAAUCAAAAUAUAUACAAAUUUACUUUAAUUAUAUUGGACGAUGUUAAUAGGUUACUUUUAGCUAAAUAAAAAAAAAAUCAAAACCUUAGAAAAAUAUUUUAAGUUUUAUUUACUCAAAUCAAUGUUUCCAAAAAUAUCCUUAUUGUCAAAACUGACUUAAAUGAAAAAUAAAUAAAAAAAUAUAAGCAAAAAACAAUUUAAUAGUUUUUAAAAAUAUUAUUAAAUCAUCAUUUGGUUCCCUUUUAUUCUGUCACUUUAAUUCUUUAAAACUAAAUUUAAUUCUUUUAUAACAAUAGAACAUAGGGGCCUAAGGUUGGAAAAUGACAAUUUACCCUAUUUGAAAAAAGAAAAAUUAUAUAUUCAUUUCUAGCCAAAAACAACUUUAUAUGUAAUUGUCAUUUUUUAUCAACCCCCACCGCUGAUGCAAAAGCCUUAACCUUGAAUGGAAUUUUAAUUUCAAAGACAUUUAGCACAUAGGAUAAAAAUUGUGCAUUUCAAUGAUCAAAGCUUCAUAUCUUAAAAGGUAGGUAAAUUUUAAAAUUCAACUAAGUUAUGUCUUCAAAAGACAAUAUUUAAUUGGAUUCUUUCGAGGUGUCAUAGAAUUAGAAAUAUUUUUUGAAUUAUUAUAUUUUAAAAAAUAUAUUUUUUUAAAUUGCCUUACUUUGUUCAAAAUGCCAAGAAGCAGGCAUAGGAACUAUAACAAAGCUCCAUCUCUAUUAGGGUACCAGAGAGGAUGAAUUGAAAAGGCUAGGAAAAUCUAAUUCCAGAAACUUCUACUUGCAUAAGAUACAGAGUGACUACAGAAUAUGCUCAAUGGCAUAGACAAGGAGGCCACACAUGCUUGCUUAUUUAGAUGGUGCAACAUGACAAUGAAAACUAGCAGGACCAGAAAUUACCUCUCACACAAACUGGUCAAGGUACUCAUCCACAGUUGUGUAUUUGACAUCGGGAUAUAGCUCUGAAGCCUCCACUCCAAAUGAUGGCUUGAUCUCAAAGUUGGUGUGGUCUCCCUUAAUGAAAACAGAGUGACUGAUAGAUAAUAUCACAUUGAGUGGAAAAGAGGCUUCUGCAAGAAACACAGGAAAAGCCAUUAAUUUGAAGAUAUUUGUCAUCAUUAAGAUUAUGUUUGGUUUCCAAAAAAUUUGAGGGAAAAUGCAAGAAAAGAAAAUAGAGAGGAAAAGUGGAAAGAAAAAAAAAGAAAAAAAAUAAAAAAAAUGGAUUCAAAAUCAAUAAAUUAUUUUUAAAUGCUAUUUCAAACUCAUUUCACCCAUUUCCCCCUAUUAUAUAAAGAUUAAACAAUUUUAAAAUGUAUAAAUUUUUAAUUAAUUUUAAUUAUAAUUUAUUUUCUUUCAUAUUUUCUAUAAUGAAACCAAGCAUGAGAAAACUAUUUUCUUUAAUAUUUUUUUUAUUUCCUUAAUACUUUCCGAGAGCCAAACAUAGUCUAAAAGAUCAACUAUAUAAACAGGGGCCAAAAAAUGGCCUCAAUGGUAAAAAAAUUAUCCUAUGUAGGAACCUUCCCAAACUUAUUUUUCAAACUAGAACUCUUGAUGCCAUCUACGCCCCAUUUUUAUUUUAUUUUUUUCCUUUUUAGUCAUAAGUUGAAAAUGCAUUUCUGAUUUUAUAAAGAAGUCAAAUUUUGAGCAAUGGUUUGAAACAUGACCCAAACUCAAUAUUAUUUGACCAAAACAGGCCUUUUUUUUAUCCAAAAUUCAUAUAAACACGUAAUGCUUGCAAGUUCAACCAACUCCUCUUUCUUUCUUUUCUUUUAUUCCCUUCAUUUUUCAAAUCCAUUGAGCAACUGCAAAUUGUUAGUCUGUCAUAUGAAUCUCUAAGGAAGACCCUAAUUGAGGUCUGGGGCACGAUCAAAUGAUUUUACCAGCAGGCCACCUAAUAUUUUCUAAGUUAAAACAAUUGAAUCAAGAACCAAUUUCAUUUUAACAAGGUAGCAUAACGAGAAUGUUUCAUUCCCAAUCUCUAUUCCAAUUUAAAUUAACUAGGAAAACCAAAGUAUGAACACUUUUAAAAAAAGAAAAUAUUUCUCACUAACCUUGGAUGUUCUUCAGAACUUGCUCCUCUGGAACAUAAAUCUUCUCAAGGGUUUUUCCAAUCUUCUUUUCCCAUAAGGAGAGAAUUUCGUUGAAUGAGUAGGUGUUCUGAGGAGGCCUGAUGUAAAGGAUUUUGUUCAAGGCUCUAGGAUCAUCCGCAGCUUUAAUAGUAUAGGUGCCAAUGUCAUCCUCCUUGUUAAAAACAGCUGGAGAUGCAAAAAUGAAAUGAGUAAAAUAAAGUAGAAUCAUCUUCUCAUUCCUUCAAGCUUGGACUACUUGGAAAUUCCACUUUUUUUGUUUGAAGAACACAAACUUGAAAUUAUUUUGAUGUGAAACCAAGUUAUUCUUUUUCAUUUAAUGCUUAUGUCAAAAACUCUCAGCUGGAAAGCAACCCAAGAGGACUGUCAAUAUAAAAAAGAGGCUUUAGCCCAUCCAGUUCAGUUUAAAAUCAAAUAAUAAUGAUUAAUUACUAAAAAUGCAUAAUGGUCCCUUCAGUUCAACCACUCCAGGCCACAUGGAUCAUGCUAGUUUCCUGGAUUAUGGCUCACUUGUAAUGUAGCACCCAAGCAGUUGACCUCAACUGUUGGAAGGUUUUGUUUCUGGGUGAACAGGUUUAACCAGCUGGGGAAGGGGGGAGUGGAGAGGGGUUGUCCAGGUUUCAAAUAGCCACAUUCUGAUUUUCAGGAAUACGGACCAUUCUCACCUCAACAACACUGGCAAACCCAUCAAUUUUUCUGCCUGGAGAAGAUAAUAUGCAGCUAUUGGUUGGUGAAAUGGUAAAUUAACACUCUCAAAAGGAUCCCAUGCUCAUUUACAUAACCCACUGAUUAGUAUUACUUUUUAAGCCCACUAUCAUCAGAUGUCACUGAUUAUAUGAGCCAGUGCAUUCUAACAUCAAAAGGAGAAAAUGCAAUGGGAAAUUCAGUUGUUGGAUGAUUUUCAGAGGUUGCUUACCUUUUGGAUUCCCAUCUCCCAAAAUAAUAACUUUAUCCCUGGGGGGAGCGGUGGCUCCAGGCUGUGAUAAUGUAGGAAGGAAAAAGCCAGCAAAGAAGUUGGAGGACACAUAGGUGUAGGGAAUUCCUUCAGCCUCAAUAGUUCGGCGGAUUUGAGCCUUUAUCUCAAAUGCUGUUUUUGCUGGCCCAACCGCAUGGACACGGUCCACAUCAUUUCCAAACUCUGAUGGGAAGAAUCUCUGGAUGAAAUAAAACACUUUAAGAAGUAGCUGUAUAACUCAAUAGAUUGAAAAACCAGUCAUAUCUAUUUAGUCAUAUUAGCUCACAAACAGGGAUCCCAUAUGGGAUACAAGUGUUCAAAUAAAGACAUAAAAUUAGCAAUUCAUAUUAUGGAAGGAAAAAGUGCACUGAUCAGGAUGCUUAAAAAGUGAAAGAAAAAACCUAAGUAAAAAAUGGGAAGAAAAAAACUACUAAAUUUCAUUCAUAGAAGGAAAAUGCUUACUAAUCAAGAUGCUUAAAAAAUGGAAGAAAAAAAACUAAGGCUAAAUUUGGCUCCGGUUAAGUACUAAGAAGGGAAAAAAAAAAUUAAAUAAAAUGGUUUUCUCAUGUUUGGUUUCACUAUAAAAAAAUAUAAAAGAAAAUAAAAUAUAAUUAAAAUUAGUUAGAAAUUUAUGUAUAUUUAAUCUUUAUAUAAUGAAGGGAAAUAAGUGAAACAACUAUGAAGAAACACAUAGAAAUAAUUUAUUAACUUUAAACCCAUUUUUUAUUUUCCUUCUACUUUUCCUCUCUAUUUUCUUUUCUUUGCAUUUUCCCUCAAAUUUUCCAAGGACCAAACAUAACCUAAAUGAAAACGGGAGGAUAUAGUUUGUUAGGUGCUUCUAUGUUAAUAUAGUCUGUUUUUAGUCUAUGAAAAAAACCAUGGGUUACUAUGGAUUGGAAGUGGUAUAGCAUGGCCCAUUAAAGGGAAUUAUUAUUUAAAAUAUUUUCCUUUUUACGUAAAAAAAAUUAAUAUUGAUUUUAAAGCAUCUCAGAGUUGAGACUCAACUCAAUCCAACCUCUGUCAAUUCAUAUGUAUCUAGAAAGAUUGUUGAUCCUCAAUGAAUAUCAUGCAUAUGAAAUGUUCUUUCAUGCACUUUCAACAUUUCGAAAGGAGGUAUUAUUACAUUAUGCACAAAGGAUAAAGAUAUCACCAACAAAUUAUGACAAAUUCCAAUAAUAAAUAUCAUAGUACUGGAUUUGCAAAGAAAAGAGGGAAUUAGAAAGAAGAAAAGGAGAAAAGGAGGAGAGAAAUUUCGUCAAUUUGGACAACUUUACCUUGACAUUUCCAGCUUCUUUGAUGGCAGCAAUGAUCUUGACUUGAUCCGACAACUGUGCGCGACCAACGGUCGAGAUGACCACAUCCACUUGCUUAAUCGCCUUCACCAAACUCUCGUGAUCGUAUAGAUCUCCCUGCAACAUAACAUAACCAAUCAAUCAACUCUUUCAUAACUCUAAUCCUCCAAUUGAAAGGUAGGAAUUCAAGACAGGGUGUGUUUUUUUCACUUUGCUGAAACCAAAACAACUUGAAAGCAUAAACAUCCAAACUUCUCUUCUCUUUUCUUUUCUUUUCAUGCGGAUCCGUACAUUCCCUUUUCUUUCCGGAUUAACGACGAUUUUCAGUUUUUGUUUCUUCGGAAACUUAAACAUCCGAGAAUGCUAGAACUCCAAAUUGACUUUACUCAUGUUCUCGGCAACCAAAAUAAGUCAAAAUUAGAAAAGAAAAAAUGACCAGACAUAAGAGCGAGUAGUACGUACAUAGACCAAACUAACGCCGGAGCUCUUGAAACUCUCGAUGAUUCCCGACUUUGAAGGAUUAGAAACAGUGGAUUCUCUGAUGAGAGCGAAGGUAGGGUGACCUAACCUGGCGCUAGCAGCUACGAUGAAUUUUCCGAUGUAGCCGGUGCCUCCGAUUAUGAGAAUCUUGCUCUUGUCGGACAUCGUGAUCCCUCCCGGCCAAUCUCCGCGAGAAAUGUGGAAUUGAAAAGACGGCGUGAAAGAUGGCGCCCAGACGAGUAAGCACUAAGCACUAAGCACUGAUGAGCAGAGCAGAUAUAGAACUACAUGCUAUAAGAAUGUGUAAUUACAGAACUAGCCUUGUGUUUUAGUGGAAAUUUCUGUUUUGGUUAUGAAAUUUAUGAGUGCGUCCAUGUUCAUCUCAUUGAAAAUGGGUCCAGAUUAUUAAUUUGAAAGCAAUAUUUUAAUAAAAUAAAUUUAAGAAUUUUAAUUCAAACAUCUAAGAAAAAAAUAAUUUCAUGUGUACUUUGAAAGAAUAUUGAUAGAAAAAUGAAAAAGAGAGAACAAUCUAAAAGAGAAAAUCGUGUGACGGAGGGGGUUAGGUAGAAGGUGACAACUGACAAGAACGCAUCUUGAACUCCACCAAACACAUAUGCUUUGAUUCAGCCCCACAAACCUUCACCAAACUUUUACGUACAAGGUUCUUUUAUUUUCCCGUGUCUAUCCAUUUACUUGAAUGGAUAGAAAUUUUAAUAUGCAAAUUAUACGCCUGACUUCACAAUUUUAGUUUCUACAUUUAACAUGAGUAAAAUAAGGAGUUAUGUCCAAUAAAACCUGCUUAAUAUUAGGUGAGCUAGUGAAAAAUGAUGGUCCAAAAAGGAAAAGUUUUUCCUUUUUUAUUUUAUUCCUUAUAAUUAUAGUAAAACUUUUCCCAUUAUUAGAUUUUUUUUUUUCCUUUAUUCUCUGGUAAAAUAUUUUUCUUUUCUUUUCUUUUUUUUUUUCUCAAUUUUCCAUUUUUAAGAAAAGUUUUUUUCCCUUUAUUCUCUAUAGCUUUACAAGGAGAUGGUAAAACUUUUUCCUUUGUGUCUUUUUCAAUUUUCCCUUUUUAAGAAAAGUUUUUUUUUUUCUUUUAUUCUCUAUAAAGCUAAGUGAAACUUUUCCCUUCUUCUUUCUCAAUUUUUGGUAAAACUUUAACUUUCCCUUUUCCUUUUCAAUUUUUGGCAUAUUUUUCCCUUUUUCUUUUCCAAUUUUUGGCAUAUUAUUCCCCUUUUUCCUUUUCAAACUUUCAUAUUAUUAUUCAAUUUUUGGUAAAAUCUUUUCCGCAUUUUUAAUAUUAUUAUUAUUAUUUCAAUAUUUUCCCACUUUUCUUUUCACAUUAUUCCCCUUUUUCUUUUUCAAUUUUUUUCUCUUUUUCAUUUUCAAUUAACAUAAGUGGAGUUAUGUCCAAUAAAAUCUACUUAAUAUUAGGUAAAGUUCUUUUUUUCCUCUGUUCUCUAUAAUUUUAUAAGGAUAUGGUAGAACAUUUCCCUUUUUCUUUUUCAAAUAUUCAUAUUUUUCUAUUAUUAUUAUUAACACAUGAUUAGAGGUUAUUGAAUGUGGUUAAAGAUCAUCUGAGGUGUGUAUAAGCAUGUCGUAGAUGGGUUAAAAAGCAAUAAUAAAUGAAACAUUUUUAAACAUGAUGUUCCAUAAAAGUACUAAAAAAAAGAAAAAAAUCAAAAUAUUUUUUUUUUCAUGUUUGACUUAUCAUAAAAAAUACAAAAAAAUAUUAAAUUUUUACUCUUAUUUUCUUUCCCCAAAAUUUUCCAAUAAUCAAAUAUAGGGAUGACUCCUCCAUUUUUCUCAACAGUAAUCAAGAAAAUCUCACUUCUUCUCUUAUAAUUUCCACAAAUUAUUUAGAUAAUCUACAUUAUUUUGCCAGCAUGUGAAUCCCUUGCCCCACAGCCUUUCAUGAGAUGGAAGAUGAAAACAUAACAGGAGAAUAAUUUAUAAAGUAGACUUCAAAGGAAGGCCAAAAGUGACAUGGAGAGAAGCAUUAUCAGAAAUAUGCAUAUUCCAUAUUCAUUCCCAUGCCAUUUAUAAAAUUAAUUGCAGUUGCAGAGGGUACCUUUCUGCUCAUUGAAGGCAUCUAUCACCAUUUCUGAAUCUCUCCUCAACUUCAAAAAUAACAACUGCCCUAAACAAAAUCCAUUUGCAAUCCAUCUGUCCUUCAGCUCUACCAACAGAUGCAUGCAACUCAACAAGUUGUUCAAGUUUUCAGUGUUUAAUUUGAAUUUAGAAGUUUCUUGUCGAUCCAUCAAGAAGUGAGGAAAUAAUUAAGGACUAGUUUAUGAAGAACAGAGGUUACUUUUCUUCCAGGAGGGUGUCUAAAUAUUCACUGAUUGUAGUAUAUUUCUGGUGUGGAUACAGUUGUGUCCCGUCAACUCCGCCGGAUGCCUCAAUAUCAAAAUAUGUCUGGUCUCCCUUCACGAAAGCUGAAUAUAUAAAUACCAUAUCCAUGUUGUCUGGAAAUGGAGUCUCUGGCAUGCAAAUAAGCCACAAAUAUUUAGUACAGAACUUCAAACUAGGUAUAAUAUAGUACAGCCAGAAUGGUUCAAGCAAAAUGACAGAAAGAGAGAGGCAUUCUAUUUCUCUCAUUCCAGAACUUGACCAAUAAGAAACCAAAUGCAAUAAGAAAUAACACAUUUUUGCCAUGAAAAAGUCUCAAGAGCAUCAUUCCUUUUCACUGCCAAAAGAUGGAGAUACUAACCCAAGCCCAUGUCCCAACAGUCUUAGAAAUAUAAACAAUUUUUCAAUCACAAAAUGAAAUUGAACCUAUGUUAAGCACUGCUAAGGAAGGGGCUGUGUUCUUCUUCAGCAAUGCCUAAAUAUAGGGCAAGUACCAGCUUCAAAUUAAGAUGUUGAUGCUCAGUAUAAUUGCCAACAUAAUUUAAGGCAUAACAAAAUAAGAAAAGCUAUUUUUUAAAUGUAGCAUGAAAAUGAAACUGUUCCACUUUGUUGUCAAAGCAUUUAACAAGUUUAUUUUUUGUUCUCAAGUUGCAAUACCAUUUAUGAAAAUACCUAUAUGAGGACUUCAUGAAUGACUAUUCCUUCUACCAUAGGUGAAUUUGGUGUAUCUAAGCAAAUUAAAGCUGAAUCAUGCUCAAGGUAAUUUCCAAAUACUUUAUGGAGCUUCAUUUUGGCAAUAAAUGGUAAAUGGCUCUAAGAGAUACUUCCAUUGGGUUUCAGACAGAGGGCAUUUAGGGGGGGUAGAAAGGGAUUUGCUCAGAAAAUUUGAAUUCCAUUGUCUGGAACCAAUAGGUUCUAUUUGAAAAGAAAAUUCCAGAAUUUGCAGAAGUUACAACAAAUUCUGCACAAAGAUGUGGAAUUCAGAAUUGAACUUGAUACUUACAAGAACUUUGCUACUAGCUUAUCUUACCCCUGUUUUUUCUAACGUCAGAAGGCAAAAGGCAACUAUAAAAUUCUUCAUAUUUAAAUCCAAUUACUUUUUUUUUUCCAUUCAUUAAACUUCUUUGCAUAUUUCUAGCAUACCUUUAAUUUUCUUAAGAAGCUCCUCUUCUGUUACAUAAACCUUCUCAAGCUUUUUUCCAAUCUUACUUUCCCAAAGCUCAACCAGCUCAUUCAUGGAGUAAACAUUUCCUGGUGGCCUCAGAUACACCACCUUAUUCAGAGUUCGCGGAUCAUCCACUGCACUAAUGGUGAAGGCAGCAAUGUCACUUUGCUUCACAAAGACACCUGCAGAGAAGGACCCCAUAUAAUACCAUCAAUUACCAAAUCUCCUUGACUCAUAAGUAAAAUUACAACUUACUAGCAGGCUAAAAUAAGAAGAUGGAGUUGAGCCAUAUGUUGACUAACCACACCUUUAACAUUUCCAUUCCCAAAAAUGGUGACCUUAUCCAUGGGAGGGGUCUUUGCACCCAGUUGAACUAGUGAUGGAAGUAAAUAGUUCAUGAAGAAAUUGCAUGAGAUGCAGGUAUAGGGUAUGCCUUCAGCUUCUAUAAGAUGCCGAAUUUCAGCUUUCCUUGAAUAAAACCCAUGGUCCAAAUCGGACAUUUGAGUUUUUUCUGGAUCGAGUCCAAAUUCUGAGGGAAUGAACUUCUGCAUAAAUUCAAAUUUAUUAAUAUUAGCACAUUAUUGGACAACUCUCUCUCUCUCUCUCUCCCUAUCUGCCACACACCUAAUUCAAAAAUAGUAAAUAGAAGUUUCAUUCACAUGUCCAAUCUACACAGGCAAUUUCAGUAUUAAUUAUGAAGAAGAAAAUGCUUCAGAAAAUUGUGUUCUCCAUGAAUGAAAAAAAUGUACAUGAAUAGGUAAAGCUGGACACUUAUUUUCCAAGAUUCUGCUAAUUUCAAGAAAUUAAUUUCUAGGGUCAUCUAUAUAUAAAAGACAACUAAUUAAAAUACAAUUUGUACACAAUCAUAAAAGGAAGUCAUAAUCAGGAAAGUCAGCACAAUCUUCAACAUAAUCAAGACAACAUCUUCAACAAUUUAUUAGUUUUAUCACCUUAGUAGACGAGAGGACCAGUCUCAGUCUCUCACACAAACAUAAAAUACAAAUAAUCAAUAGAAGUUUCAUUCAUACUUAGUCUAAUCUUGCACAUGGGCAAUUCCAGUAUUAUUUAUUAGUAUAACAAUGGGACCAGUUUCCAUGCCUACACACAUGUACAUAAAAUACAAACAAUCAAUAUGAGCUUCAUUCAUACUUAUUUUAAUCUUAUACUUAGACAAUCCUGGUACUAUUUAUUUAUUAGUUUAGUCUUUAGUGGACAACAGAAUCUUCCUCCAUCUCAGUAGAUAUAUAAAAUACAGAAGUCAACAAGUUCAAAUUUAGUCCAAUCUAAGGAAGUAAAUUCGUAAAAUACAGAAUUCCCCAUAUGAACAUCUCCCUGUUACCUAUUACCCCUCCCCCACAAUGAUGAUCAAUGAAUUUGACUAAAAUCUUCCACCAUAUAUGAUGCUUCCGAGAUUUUACCAGCAACCAAACUGUGUACUACAAAUGAUGGCAGCUAAUUGAGGAAAAAAACAGCCAUUUUCACCUAUGUCAUCAACCAAGAGCAAUGUAAAGAACCCUCUCCCUAAGAAAAUUUGUUUGUUCAUGUGAUGUGAUUCUUCUCCUUCGCGUAGUUUCGAUUUUUCAUUGUUAAUAAAUCUUAUCUCUCUCUCUCUCCGUUUCAAUUGAUCUUUAUUUAUUAUCUUUUCUAACCAAAAAUUCAACAUAUCAACAAGUUUGACCUAGAAAAGGGUUUGUGCAAUUUUCCUAUUCUUUUUGCCGCAAGCAUCACGCUGUCUGUGCACAACGAAAUAAAAUGAUAACACUAUUGAAUCUCUACCUAAAAUCUCUGCCACAGUCUCCAGAAUCACCAAAAAGCAGAGAAAAAUGACCUUGAUGCAACCAGCUAGUUUGAUAGCUUUAAUAACAGGCUUCUGAUCCAGAACCUGCUUGGAGGAAACAGCGCAAAUCACUACAUCCACUUGCUUCAUCGCUUCAACGAGGCUCGAUUCAUCUUCAAUCGAACCCUAUAAUUCAAACAAACAACAAUUCAAUACUUGAGGCCCAAGACAGAAAUGCGAGAGAGACUGAAAAGGAGAGACCUUGAGAAGAGUGGCUCCGGCGUCGGAGAGGGUUUGGAGGACGUGGCGCUUGUGAGGAUGAGAGAAAGCAGAGUCUCUGACGAGAGCGAAGGUUGGAUGUGAAGAUUGAAGGCUGGCUUUGGCGAGUUGGUGCCCUAGAUUUCCGGUUGCUCCGAUUAUCAGUACUCUGCUCUUUCCCAUCUUCCACUCCAGUUGCAGACCUCUUCUCAGGAAACAAGAGGCCGAGACUUGAGUAUGAAAGUGAUUUUAGGAAGCAAAAAAAUUUAUAAAAAAAAAAAAAAAAAAGUUUUUGAAAACAAAAAAGUGUUUGAAAUAAAUUUAAAAAACACUUUAAAAAAUAAUAGCGUUGAAAAUUCCCGUGAAAAACACUUUCAAAUAAAUAAAUAAGAAAAUUUAAUCUGAUUUUUUUUUUCGGCUUUAUUUAUUUUCUUUUGAAGAAUAAAGAAGUGAAAAUUAUAGCUAUUUUCAAAUAAUUCAUAUUUUUCAUGAUGCUUUGGGAAUUAAUUCUUUUUCCCUUCACAUUAAUUUUUUUUAAGAAUACAAACAGAUAAAUGAAAAGAGAAAGGGAAAAUCUGAAAUAAGUGCAUUGAGCAUAACUCUCAUUUCUAACAUGCCACGUGGACAAAACGAACGCCUAAUAUAACGGUCCUUUCACGGAGGUCUCAAAUUUGAAAUUUGAAACCAAGAAGAAAACAUAACGGUAGCAAUCGCCCUAAUCUUUAUAAGUUGCAGUCUCUCUCUUCAUUCUGAACCCCUUCAAAGCUCAGACCUCAGAGCUCUCAACCUUUCCAUCGAUCUUCGACGUUUCAAAGCUCCAUCUCGGAGAAAAGAUCUUUGAGGGCACUCGUUCGAUUUCUUCAAGGUUUGUAUUGUUCCUAAUUUAUUCGGUUGUUUCUUUGGAUUUUUUUUUUCUCUGAUCGAUCAUUUGGUUUUGAAGAUUUAAAGAUAUUGUGAUGGUUGGUGUGCAUCUAUUUUCAUUUUCUCGAAGACCCAUUUUUUUUUUUUUUUUUACCUUUGUUUGGUUGAUGAGAAAAUUGAAGAAAAUUGUGUCAUGAUGUUGUGUUGUUUUUGGAUGCUUGAAAUAGGAUUUUGGUUUUCCUUUUUUUUUUUUUUUUCCCAUCAAACAACUGACGAUGCGAAAUUUCAAUGUCAUUUUCUUUUCCUCGGUUUUCUUGAGAACCAAAAACAGAACCAAGAUUGAUCUCUGUCUUUGAUUCAACUGCUUUGAAUGAUUAAUCCCUCUGGUUUCAGAUCCCUUGUUGGAGAAAUCAUAAUCCCAUUUAUCAAAGAAACUCCAGCAUCAGUACAACCCCAUCACUUUUCCUUCAUCUUGACCGAAUCUGUGGUAUCUUCUAUUUAACUUCUCUGUUUCACUAUUCAAAUCUAUGUUUCUCCAUAUGAGAUUUUUCGUUUUACCAAUUUGAAUUUUCUCAUUUUUUAUUUCAAAUUCGAUAAACGUUCUAAGAAACUGACGAUUUCAGAUUAAUUUCCAGGUGGGUAUUCACAAAUAUCUGUGAAGAUGAAUGAUCUUAUGACAAAAUCGUUCCUCAGUUAUGUUGAAUUGAAGAAACAGGCCAUGAAAGAUCUCGAAUCUGAGCCAGACAUCGAGAUGGGAAAACUCGACCCAACAGAUGAACAAAACCUUACUAACUUCUUCGAAGAAGUGGGUGCAAUCAAGACAGAUAUGGAAGAGAUCGUCAAUCUCCUUCUAGACCUACAAGAUCUAAAUGAAGAGUCAAAAUCUACGCACAGUGCUAAAGUUCUUCGAGGGCUCAGAGACCGAAUAAACUCAGACAUGGUAACUAUUCUUCGAAAGGCGAAAAAUAUCAAAGCAAGAUUGGGAUCCCUUGAUCAAUCCAAUAUCGAUAAUCGCAGUAUAUCAGCUGCUUACAAGGAAGGAAGCCCAAUUGAUAGAACCAGAAUGUCAGUGACAAAUGGGUUGAGAAUUAAGCUAAGAGACAUGAUGAAUGAUUUUCAGUCCUUGAGAGACCAGAUUGUGAAAGACCACAAAGAAUGUCUCAAGAGGAGGUACUUCAAUGCCACUGGAGAGGAACCCAGUGAGGAAGUCGUAGAGAAGAUGAUUUUGGGAGGUGGGCAAGUGAAUGUUUUUGAUGGGAAGGCAGAUUUGGUAAUGGAGAAUCAGGAGAGGCAUGAGGCUCUGAAGGAGAUACAGAGAAGCUUGACAGAGCUCCAUCAAGUUUUUCUGGACAUGGCUGUUUUGGUUGAGAGACAAGGGGAAGAGGUCAAUGAUAUCGAGCAGAAUGUGGCUCAGGCUGGAGAUUACAUCAGUGAGGGGACAAAGAAGCUUGAUUCUGCUAAGCAGUUAAAGAAAAGGUCGAUGAAAUGGACUUAUUGUCUUGGAGCUCUCAUCUUUGUCUUGAUAUUGAUAUGCCUGAUUUUGACUUUCUUGAAGAAUUGAACAAUCAUAUCUCUGUCUUACUGGGUUUUUCAGAGAGGAGGGGGUCUGGUAUAUAUAUACAUGGAUACACAUAUAGACGUCUUCUUUUCCAAUAUUGCUUGAUAACAACUGAGAUUUUGUUGUGGUUUUGUCAUUUUCCAUUCUUAUACUGUAAAUGAAGUGGAAACUCAGGGAUUUGCUCAAGCUCUGAACAAAAGUACUCUUGGUUCUCUUCUUUUUCUUUGAUUUAUCAAUGAGUGUUUUUGGAUUUCUCAAUCUGUUUCCAUCUGUUUCCUUUUCUUCUCUUAUAGAGUUUGUGAUAGUGUUUGCUCUGUUGGCACAAUUUUCCUACCUAUAAAGAUUGGUCAAGAAUCAAGAGGCUGUAUUUUGGGUUAUUUGAUUAAGAUGGUCAAAACUUAAUUUUUGAAAUUUAAUCAAUUUUUUUUCCGAUAAAAACGGCCUUAUUAUUUUCUUGUAAAAAUAACUUUUUUUUUACAUGUAAAUAUUUGAAAUGGCAAAAGGGUAUUUAUGUAAAAAAAUGAGUUAUUUUUUAAGUAAAAACAUGAGAAGAGUAGUAUUCACAAUUUAAGGAUUAUUUCAACUCUUUUAACCAAGUAUUUUUUUGCAUUUUCUUCUAAAACAAGGGAGAAACACAAGAAUCUUCGAGUUCUAGCACAACCAAGCCCAAAUUUGCAUUGAACCACCUUUACAAUUUGGUUUAAGAUAAAAAAAAGUGAGUACCAAUAACAAUCUAAGUAACAUAUCAUAUUAUCAUACCAUUGUCACAUAUGAGUUAUUUACAAGUACGUACAAUUACAAUUCUGAUUACUUUCAAUCUUUCUAGAGUCGACGAUUACUAAUUCCUAUGAUUUGAAUACACAUCAAUUCUCGGGCCCCAUUGUUGUCCACUACAUUCAAAUGAGUUUGGUUAUAUAAUUGUUUUCCAAAAUAGUUUUUUGUUGUCCCAAAAAAGAAAAAAGGAAAACAUGUUUGAUAACUAUAAAAUAGAAAAUGGUUUCUAUUCUUAAAAACAAAAAAAAAAAAUGUUGUUUUUUGAAAAUAUUUUUUAACUGUUUUCAUUUGUUUUUUGAGGUUUAUUUUAAAAAUUAAUUAUACAAACAUAAAGAAUAAAGAAGGAUUAAAAUAAAGCAUUAUAAAAAUUAGUUUUAAAAUAUAUUUAAAAACAACAAAAACAAGUUAAAUAUUUUAAAUUUUCAAAUAAAUAUUUAUUUUAACAAAAUAUUGUAAAACAAUUUUCGAAAACUGUUUAGAAAAUUCUUAGCAAAAGCAACUUAAGUUUUUCCCAAGAUGACUCUUAUGCUAAAUUAGAUGAUUCUACAUCAAAUUACCUUUUGGAUAAUGAAGAAGACUGUGAAGGUAUCCUUCUUCUUAUAAGGAAAUCAAAAUAAGCUCUUCAAACAUACAACACUUCUUAUGGCUCUGAUACCAUAAACACUGAGGAUGAGGUAAUAUACAAUAAAAAUAUGAAUUAUGUUGAGAAUCAAAACAAAAUACACAUGAUAUUUAAUAAAUAAAUUUACAGAAAAGGAACAUGAAACUUUAUAUUACAUAACCUAAAAAAAAAAAAUACAUAUUAGGAGAAACAAGGAGAUGAAAUUUCUUACAAUGGGAAAGGCAAGGAAAAGCUUUGAAUAAAGCUUUUGGGCUUGAGAGCUUACAUAGUGAGAGAGGAAGAGGAGAGAAGGGAGAGCUUAAGAAGGGAAGAAGAGUGAAAAUUCAAUUGUGUUUACAACUGAGGAUCAAGCCUCCUUAAAUAGCUGAAAAAAUGAAUAAAAAACAGUACAUAGUGUAUGACAAGACACUGUGCAACUUUUGACUCCAGCUGAAAAUAGUAAUCAUUCGUGGAUGAAUAGUGAAUAGUAAAAUUGACUUUUUUACUGUAGCAAUAUUGAUUUGUUGGCAUACGAAUCUUGCUUUCGGUGGAGGAAAGUUGGUGUGCCAAGCAGGUUAAGAACUAUAGUAUCACAUGCUUGUAGACAAAAUUGCUUUCAGUGCUGACUUUUUAAAACUGCUUUUUAAAACAGUUUUCGAAAACAAUUAUUAAAAAGAGUUUUGUUCUUUUAGGUUAUUAAUCUUUUAGGCUGCUUGGUGCGACAUGGCUAAUCAGAAAGGAAGCCAAAUUCAAUGCUAGAAUUGUCUUUGAUUGAAUGUGGGCUCAAAAUCUGCAAUGGCCAAAUGAAUGAUUCUUCUCAAACUCGUUCCUCAUGCUAUCACUUCACCAAAAAUAUGCUUUUGGUUUUGAAUUAUUCAUGUGUGGGUGGUCCAUCCAUGCUAAGAGGCACCAGUUUCAGAACUGUUUGAAGGCAAUCACGCUUGCUUUUGAACAGUUACUAUUCAUUUAAGAGAGAGAAAAAAUGGUGGAGAUUGAAACACAUCUUCCCUAAUUCAUGCCCAUUUCUCUGGAUGGGUCAUUAAGAGAAAAGAAAAAUCAACUACGGACAAAUUUCAUGAAUGUCCUGCAAUGUAAAGCAAAACAAUAAAACAAAAAUGUUAAACAAAGAUUUUAUUAAAAUUGAUAAAAUUAUGGGUAUAAUCUUCGUACUAAUAUUCUUUACAAAAAAACAUAUCCCUUUAAUUCUUUCACCUUGAUCAUAAUUUGAAAGACGGUAAUAACGUUUUCUUGAUUUCGAAGAUCAAUCGAGAGUCACAUGUGACUUAUUCUCUGUGAACAUUGUGGUUUUUCUCUUUGUAAAGUCUCUUUUGAUGUCUAGACUCUCUUAUAAAGAAGUCAACAAUUCUCUUAUUUUGUCCAUGCAAGGUCAUGAAUCAUUAUAAACAGCUUCUGAAUAUUAAGCAUGUCUCAUGUGCUAGAUGCCUAGACCCAGGUCACCUCCAAAAGGUCGGUUAUAAUUCAUCUAAUCCAAUGAUCUUCUAAAGCUUCUAAGAACACCAAAAUGAAAUUUUUUGCAUCUCCAUUCUCCCUUGCUUACCUCAUCAUAUUUUGAACAAAAUCAACAUAAACUUUCAUUAGAUUCCUGCAAAAUAUGUAGUUGGUGUUCUUUCUUUGUUUAUAUUUGUAGCCAAAAUGAGCUCUGUUUUCUGUUCUCCAUACCAGAAAGCAAAAAAAGGAAUGCUAAGGAUGCUUGUUAAGUACGGAAAAGAAGGGCACGCAUCUAUGACUAACGAGUACCUGCUGUGUCUCUGGUCUGUCCUGAAUUUAUUGCCUUGAAAAAAAGUUCAACUGUCCUGACAGAGCCAUGGCAGUUAAAGAGGCAAGAGUUGUAGUGUAUGGCUGAGAAUUCAACAUGUAUAUAUGUCAUGAACCCCUACUCUCAAAUCUCAAUUUAACCUACGAUAGGAACUUGAGUGAGAUACACUGGAUGUCAUUCACUAUCACACAGUAUCGAAAUGAGUCACGACUCAGGAGGAUAAUAAUCAUUAAAGACAUGGGCCCCCUUACAUAUUUCCUGAUCUUAUUCAAAGAGAGAGCAUCAGAAGUGAACUUCAGGCAUGCAUACUCAGUCUUCAUUUGCAUCUUCCUCACUGUGGUUUCUUUCUUGUUCAGUUUGUUCAUGUUACAUAAGUUAGAAUCUAGAACCAUUAGGAUCAAAUCAGGCACAUGUCACUUUUAGGGGAGGAGGUGUUUGGGAGCUGAGAAAGUGGGGGAUUAUGGAAGUAGGAUGUGGUCUCUUAAACAGGGAAGCAAGAAGAUGGGGUUUUGGUGUCACCUUAACCCUCAUGUUGUGUUUGUCUAUGAGGGUUUACAUCCAUGGUGUUUCUGAAGACCAGUAUGCAUUUAUGGGGUAUGUUUUCUUUCUCUUUUUUCUUACUUCAAUCUUGGCUGUUGGCUAGUUGGCCUUUGCUGGAUUUAUAAUUGAGUCUUCUGGAAGAUCCUAAAAAAUUGUUUUGAUGAUAGUUUUUUAAAGUUGUCAAUUGUUUUUCAAAAACAAAAUUAUGUUUUGAACACAAAUAUAGGAAACAUUUUUUUCUAUUUUACGUAAAAGUAUUAUGGAUUUAUCUAUGUCGUUUAUAUUUUCAAUUAUUACUCAAAAAAUAUUAUAAAAAUAAAUAAAUUUAAAAAAUAUAAAAAAAAAAUAAAAAAUAAAUUAAAAGUUAAAUAAAUUAUUUUUAUUUACUACUUGAAAUUUAUUUUACUUAUUUUAAUUCUUUAAUAUAAAAAUUAAAUAAUUUUAAAAUAUAUAAGCUUCUAACCAAUUUUAAUUAUAUUAUAUUUUUUUAUAGAGUAACUAAAUAUAAAAAGUAAUUUUUUUUAUAUAUUUUUUUUUCUUUAAUAUUUCUAGGAACAAACAUAACCUGAAAAAUUGAUCAUACCAAUAAAAAAGACUUCAUGAGAAAGUGUGGCUAUAGGUAACACAAAUAAAAGAUAAUAUAAGGGUGGCCACGACUAUGGACUUUUCCAAAUAAAUUUCCCGUCAAUACCAAUACCCAUAGAUGCGGUUGAAAUGUAUUUAAGGUUAGAUAUUUUCUUUAGGAGAAUUUUAUGGUACCACGUAGUACCAAAUAAUUAUUUUGGACUAUUCUUGAUAAGAUUUUGAUAAUUCUUUUUAAUAGGUUUUAUUUAAUUUUUUAUUAUAUUAUAUAUAUAUAUAUAUAUAUAUAAUGUGAACAAAGAAAGAUUAAAACGAAAUAUAAAAUAAUUUUUUUUUAAAUAUUUGAAAAUAUGAAAAAUAAGUUACAAAAUUUACAGCUUAAAACAUCCUUUAAUUAAAUUAAAAAAAAAAAAAAACCAUCUAGAAGGUUUUUUAAAGCUCCUGAAAGAUUAUUUUUGUCUUCUCUGAAACCUUCCAAAAUUUUCAUUCCCGCAAGAUCAAGAUUCUGAGUUCAUUUGACUGAUCAUGGCUGUGGUUUCCAUGAGUUCAGGGAUCUCAAGAACAUGAUUCUGGGCAUAUCAGUCGGAGAAAUUUCCCCACAACACCAUGAUGUUGAUGCAAAGAAACAUGCAAAGAAUGUUGUUUCUCCUAACUUAACAACGUGCCAUGAAUCUGUUCCUCGGCCUGGUCUCUCCGUGUACUGCUGCCCUCCAAAACCCGAAUCAGAAGAGCCCUUCAUCGAUUUCCAGUUCCCCGAUCCCUCCUCGCCUUUACGUCUGCGCCGGGCGGCCCAUCUCGUUGAUGAUGACUACAUAGCUAAGUACAGAAACGCCGUAUCAAUAAUGAAAUCCCUUCCUUAUGAUGAUCCAAGGAGCUUCCUUAGCCAAGCGAACCUCCAUUGUAUUUACUGCACCGGCGCCUAUAAGCAGAAAAACUCAGAUAUUCCUCUUCAUGUCCACAGAUCAUGGCUGUUCUUUCCCUGGCACAGAAUGAUGCUCUACUUCCAUGAGCGAAUCCUCGGGAGUCUGAUCGGAGAUGACAGUUUUGCUUUGCCGUUUUGGAACUGGGACAACCCUGAUGGCAUGGUGAUCCCUGAAAUGUACGUGACUGGUUCAUUAGUUGAUACUGAUCGGGAAAAUUCUCAUCUUCCACCCCAAGUUGUGGACUUGAACUACAAUUUACAGGAGAAAGGAUUGGGACCUGAGGAGCAGAUAAAGAUCAACAUGGCGCUGAUGUAUACCCAAAUGGUAUCAGGUGCGAAGACGACUGAACUCUUCAUGGGUUGUCCUUAUAAGGGAGGUGAGGGAGGCUUCUGUGAAGGACCCGGCACCAUAGAGCUUGCACCUCAUAAUACAUUACACGAUUGGACCGGUACCGGUUUGAAUCCUGGAAGGGAGGACAUGGGCUCAUUCUACUCUGCUGGAAGGGACCCCAUCUUCUAUGGACACCAUGGGAAUGUAGACCGUCUUUGGGAAGUUUGGAGGAGGCUCCAAUGGGAGUACUACAAUUCAGAGAUCACUGACACUGAAUGGCUAGAUUCUUACUUUUUCUUCCAUGAUGAGAAAAGGCAGCUUGUGAGGAUCAAAUUCCAGGAUGUUGUCAACAUAACAAGGCUCAGGUAUGCUUAUGAGGAGGUCGAGCUGCCAUGGCUCAACGCCCGUCCUCGGCCUUCAGUCCCUCCCAAGAUUGCCCGUGACAUACUAAAAAUGAGAGACCUUGAUCAUGAGAACAACCAGGAACUUCCAAGCAGCCCCUUUUUAUCAGCAGACUUUGGACCCCAUGGUCGAACUCUGGACACCACCAUAAGGGUAAAGGUCCAUAGGCCAAAGAAGCAUAGGAGCAAGAAACAGAAAGAUUUCAAAGAAGAAGAGGUCAUGGUUGUGUAUGGAAUUGAGGUCAAGGAGGACAGUUAUGUUAAGUUUGAUGUGUAUGUGAAUGCAGUUGAUGAGACAUUAAUGGUUGGUCCAGAGUUCAGAGAGUUUGCAGGGACCUUUGUUAACAUUCCUAUUGGUGUUUGGCCAGUAAUGAGGAGGAAGAGUAAUCUUAAAUUGGGGAUCUCAGAAUUAUUACAAGACUUGGAGGCAGAUGAAGAUGAGAGCAUCUGGGUAACCUUGAUACCAAGAGCUGAAGACUGUAUGAAUGUAACCAUUGAUGGGAUUAGGAUUGAAUACAUUGAAUAAGUGAACCUGAUCUUGGGUUCAACUCCAAAUAAAACUGUCAAAAAUAAUAGAUUAGUUUUGGCUUUCAUGGCAGUAUAUAUUAUUUGUUAGAUACUGUUAUUAUACAAGCAGGCAUCCACUGUAAAAGAAUGCCAUUUCAGAUGUAAAAUAACUUUCUGUUCAAUUACAAGUCAUGUAAUGCAGUUUGGUCGGUGAUAAAGCUAAGGGUGAGUCUGAUAAAAAAAUGAAAAGAAUGAUUGAAACAGCUAGCUUAGUUUUCUCAUUAAUUAUGAAAAAAAAAAAAAGGAAAGAAAGAAAAGAAGAGAAAAAGAACUUUAAAUAUCCAUUCAAGUAGGCUAGCUCUGGGGAAAAUGCCUGAAAUAUUUAUCAACUGGUUUCAUUUUCAUAGACUGUGAGACAAGUGGAACAAACAGUCAAAAGAGAAAUGGAAAUCUUGUAGUUUGAUGCAUUUACAUGAUAAGUUGUCAGCAAGCCAAUAAGUUUUACUAUUCCCUUCCAACGAUCUCUCUGGAGAGUUGAUUCAUAGAUUGUAUCAUUUUCCCAAUUAAUUCAGUGUUGCUGUCCAUGGAAAUUGGUGGCCUGCAAAAGACCCAGCAGCCAUGAAAUAUCAGCUGGUGAUUCAUGGAUUGGAUGUGAUUAGUUGUAGUGUGCAUGCAAUUAGUAAUGCUUGAAUUGUAAAUGGGUUUGGUAGGGACUAAUCCCCAUCAUUGUUAUGCUGGGACCCGCAUUAAUAAAGAAAAGCUUGUCCUUGAUUGUGGCAUUGCUGAAGAGAUUUCGAUAGAAGGUUGAUUCAUCAUUGUUAUGCUGGGAACUGAUUGUGGCAUUGCCCUCGUGAGGCUGUUGGGCUUUGUGGAGCCUAGUUUUGUUUGAUCCGAUUUGAUGACCCGACCCGAAUAAUAUUGUAUGGCUUUUUAAUGGGAGAUUUAUUGAGACCUGUUGGGCUCAUUUAGCCCAUUGUGGAACCACCUUUUUAAUUAGGGUUUUUUAGUGUGGUGGGGUUGUUGUUUUAUAUAUAUAGAGAGAAUAUUGUAACCGCCAGGUUGUACUCUAUAUUCUUCCCUGAUAAUAGUGAUAUCCCUGCAACUCUGUAGAUGUAGGCAAAUUGCCGAACCAUGUAAAUAUUGUCUUGUGCAUGUGAUUGUUUUUCUUUGGCGUGUGUUUUUCUCUAAUUUUUUGUUUCUCACGGGUUGGGAAUUCGGUUUAAUUCCCUACAACUGGUAUCAGAGCCUAGGGUUAGGUUUGAGUGGGAGCAAUGGCAGAGGAAGCAGGAAAGGAGUCUGGAAUAGAAAAGUUUGAUGGCACAAACUUUGCGUAUUGGAGGAUGCAGAUUGAAGAUUAUUUCUAUGGGAGGAAAUUGCAUCUGCCUCUUUUGGGGACAAAACCUGAGAGUAUGAAGGCUGAGGAAUGGGCGCUUCUUGACAGACAGGUUCUAAGAGUUAUUAGGUUAACUCUGUCUAGGUCUAUUGCACACAAUGUUGUAAAGGAGAAGACCACAGUAGAUCUGAUGAAGGCUUUGUCCGGUAUGUAUGAAAAGCCGUCUGCAAACAAUAAGGUGCAUCUGAUGAAGAAAUUGUUCAAUUUGAAGAUGGCAGAGAUGCAUCAGUAGCACAACAUCUGAAUGAAUUUAAUACAAUCACAAAUCAAUUGUCGUCUGUAGAAAUUGAUUUUGAUGAUGAGAUUCGUGCUUUGAUCGUCUUGGCUUCUUUGCCAAAUAGUUGGGAGGCAAUGAGGAUGGCAGUAAGCAAUUCUACUGGAAAGGAAAAGCUCAAGUACAAUGAUAUACGAGAUUUAAUUCUGGCUGAGGAGAUUCGCCGAAGAGAUGCAGGUGAAACCUCAGGAUCUGGUUCUGCCCUAAAUCUUGAGACAAGAGGUAGAGGUAAUAACAGAAAUUCAAAUCAAGGUAGAUCAAAUUCCAGAAAUUCUAAUCAGAACAGAAGCAAAUCUAGAUCAGGCCAACAAGUACAAUGCUGGAAUUGUGGGAAAACAGGUCACUUUAAAAGGCAAUGCAAAAGCCCUAAGAAGAAGAAUGAAGAUGAUUCUGCUAAUGCUGUAACAAAAGAGGUACAGGAUGCAUUACUUCUUGCAGUAGACAGUCCACUUGAUGAUUGGGUUUUGGAUUCAGGAGCUUCGUUUCAUACCACUCCACACCGAGAAAUCAUACAGAAUUAUGUUGCAGGUGAUUUUGGUAAGGUGUAUUUGGCUGAUGGUUUAGCCUUGGAUGUUGUGGGUCUGGGAGAUGUCCGGAUAUCGUUGCCCAAUGGGUCUGUUUGGUUACUGGAGAAGGUUCGAUAUAUUCCUGACCUGAGGAGGAAUCUGAUUUCUGUUGGACAACUUGAUGAUGAAGGACAUGCAAUACUAUUUGUUGGUGGUACUUGGAAGGUUACAAAGGGAGCUAGGGUAUUAGCUCGUGGAAAGAAGACUGGCACUAUGUAUAUGACCUCAUGUCCAAGAGACACAAUUGCAGUUGCUGAUGCAAGUACUGAUACAAGCCUAUGACACCGCAGACUUGGUCACAUGAGUGAGAAAGGGAUGAAGAUGUUGUUGUCAAAAGGAAAACUACCAGAAUUGAAGUCCAUUGAUUUUGACAUGUGUGAAAGUUGCAUCUUAGGAAAGCAAAAAAAGGUGAACUUCUUGAAAACUGGCAGGACACCGAAGGCUGAAAAAUUGGAACUAGUACACACUGAUUUGUGAGGGCCUUCUUCGGUUGCAUCCCUAGGAGGUUCAAGGUACUACAUCACCUUUAUUGAUGACUCAAGUAGAAAGGUAUGAGUUUAUUUUCUGAAAAAUAAAUCUGAUGUAUUUGUAACUUUUAAGAAGUGAAGGCCAUGGUUGAGACAGAAACAGGUUUGAAAGUAAAAUGUUUGAGGUCAGAUAAUGGAGGAGAGUACAUAGAUGGAGGAUUCAGUGAGUAUUGUGCUGCACAGGGAAUUAGGAUGGAGAAGACCAUUCCUGGGACACCACAGCAGAAUGGUGUGGUUGAGCGCAUGAACAGAACUCUCAAUGAGCGUGCUAGAAGUAUGAGGUUGCAUGCUGGACUACCAAAAACUUUUUGGGCUGAUGCUGUUAGCACUGCAGCUUACCUGAUAAACCGAGGACCAUCAGUUCCCAUGGAGUUCAGACUUCCUGAGGAGGUUUGGAGCGGUAAAGACGUGAAGUUUUCACAUUUAAAAUUUUUGGUUGUAUUUCUUAUGUUCAUAUUGAUUCUGAUGCUCGUAGUAAACUUGAUGCAAAGUCAAAAAUAUGUUUUUUCAUUGGCUAUGGUGAUGAGAAAUUUGGCUAUAGGUUUUGGGAUGAACAAAACAGGAAAAUCAUCAGAAGUAGAAAUGUGAUAUUUAAUGAACAGGUUAUGUACAAAGACAGGUCAUCUGUAGUGUCAGAUGUUACAGAGAUAGAUCAAAAGAAAUCUGAGUUUGUCAACUUAGAUGAAUUGACUGAAAGUACUGUCCAAAAAGGGGGUGAAGAAGAUAAGGAGAAUGUAAAUUCACAGGUAGAUCUGAGUACACCUGUAGUUGAAGUUCGCAGAUCUUCUAGGAACAUUAGACCUCCGCAGCAUUAUUCACCUGUUUUAAAUUAUCUCCUGUUGACUGAUGGUGGUGAGCCAGAGUGUUAUGAUGAAGCCUUGCAAGAUGAGAAUUCAAGCAAGUGGGAGUUAGCCAUGAAGGAUGNNNNNNNNNNNNNNNNNNNNNNNNNNNNNNNNNNNNNNNNNNNNNNNNNNNNNNNNNNNNNNNNNNNNNNNNNNNNNNNNNNNNNNNNNNNNNNNNNNNNAGAAGUUUGACAAUUUUUAUGCAUAGAAUUGGGUUCAAGAGAUGUGAAGCUUGUAUGUUAAGUCCUUUGACAACUCUUACAUCAUAUUACUGUUGUAUGUGGAUGAUAUGCUUAUUGUAGGGUCUGACAUUGAGAAGAUUAAUAAUCUGAAGAAGCAAUUGUCCAAACAGUUUGCAAUGAAGGAUUUGGGAGCUGCAAAGCAAAUCCUUGGUAUGAGAAUCAUUAGAGACAAGGCUAAUGGUACAUUGAAGCUUUCACAGUCAGAGUAUGUGAAGAAAGUUCUCAGCAGGUUCAACAUGAAUGAAGCUAAACCAGUGAGCACACCCUUGGGUAGUCAUUUCAAACUAAGCAAAGAACAGUCACCAAAGACAGAAGAAGAAAGGGACCAUAUGAGCAAGGUGCCCUAUGCCUCAGCUAUUGGCAGCUUGAUGUAUGCUAUGGUGUGUACAAGGCCAGACAUUGCACAUGCAGUGGGAGUUGUGAGCAGAUUCAUGAGUAGGCCUGGAAAGCAGUAUUGGGAGGCAGUCAAGUGGAUUUUAAGAUAUCUGAAGGGUUCAUUAGAUACAUGUCUUUGCUUCACAGGUGCAAGUUUGAAAUUGCAGGGUUAUGUAGAUGCUGAUUUUGCUGGUGAUAUUGAUAGUAGAAAGAGUACUACUGGGUUUGUUUUUACUCUAGGUGGUACAACUAUAUCAUGGGUUUCAAAUCUACAGAAGAUUGUUACUUUGUCUACCACAGAAGCUGAGUAUGUUGUAGCAACUGAAGCUGGAAAGAAGAUGAUUUGGCUACAUGGUUUCUUAGAUGAAUUGGGUAAGAAGCAGGAGAUGGGCAUUCUAUACAGUGACAGUCAGAGUGCAAUUUUUCUUGCCAAAAAUUCGGCUUUUCAUUCAAAGUCAAAGCAUAUACAAACAAAAUACCACUUUAUCCGUUAUCUUGUUGAAGAUAAACUAGUAAUACUUGAGAAGAUUUGUGGAUCUAAGAACCCGGCAGACAUAUUGACUAAGGGUGUCACUAUUGAGAAGUUGAAGCUGUGCGCAGCUUCAAUUGGUCUUCUAGCUUGAGGACAGGAGGAUGAGUUGUGGGGAUGAGGGAUUGUUUCUUGGAGGAUAGCGGUUUGAUGUUGGUGAUUGGACUAGUCUCCAAGUGGGAGAUUUGUUGGGCUUUGUGGAGCCUAGUUUUGUUUGAUCCGAUUUGACGACCCGACCCGAAUAAUAUUGCAUGGCUUUUUAAUGGGAGAUUUAUUGAGGCUUGUUGGGCUCGUUUAGCCCAUUGUGGAACCACCUUUUUAAUUAGGGUUUUUUAGUGUGGUGGGGUUGUUGUGUUAUAUAUAUAGAGAGAAUAUUGUAGCCGCCAGGUUGUACUCUGUAUUCUUCCCUGAUAAUAGUGAUAUCCCUGCAACUCCGUGGAUGUAGGCAAAUUGCCGAACCACGUAAAUAUUGUCUUGUGCAUGUGAUUGUUUUUCUUUGGCGUGUGUUUUUCUCUAAUUUUUGUUUCUCACGGGUUGGGAAUUCGGUUUAAUUCCCUACGGAGGCUGCUCUAAUAAAAGGGCAAUGCCACAAUCAGGUGCUCAUUAAUCCCCAUCAUUUUUUAAGAAGAUGAGCAAGGUUGAUCAACCCUUCCAAGCAGCCUCAUUGUAUCAGCAGCCUUUGGACCCCAUGGUCAAACUCUGAACACCACCAUAAGAGUAAAGGUCCAUAGGCCACAGAAGCAUAGGAGCAAGAAACAGAAAGAUUUCAAAGAAGAAGAGGUCAUGGUUGUGUAUGAAUUGAGGUCAAGGAGGACAUUUAUGUUAAGUUUGAUGUGUUUGUGAAUGCAGUACUUAAUGAGACAUCAAAGGUUGCUCCAGAGUUCAUAGCGUUUGCAGGGACCUUUGUUAGCCUUCCUCAUGGUGUUUGGCUGGUAAUGAGGAAGAGUAGUCUCAAAUUAGGGAUCUCUGAAUUAUUACAAGACUUGGAGGCAGACGAAGAUGAGAGCAUCUGGGUAACCUUGGUACCAAGGUUCAACUGUAUGAAUAUAACCAUCGAUGGGAUUAAGAUUGAGUGAAGCUGAUCCUGGGUUCAACUCCAAAUAAAACUGCCAGAAAUAAUAGACUGGUUGUGGCUUUCAUGGCAGUAUAUGUUAUUUGUUAGAUACUGCUAUUAUACAAGCAGGCAUCCACUGUCAAAGAAUGCCAUCUCAGAUGUAAAAUAGUUUUGUUUCAUUAGAAGUCAUGUAAUGCUGUUAGAUUGGUGAUAAAGUUAAGGUUGAGUUUGAUCUAAAAAAUGGUAAGAAUGAUUGAUGCCGCUGCUUUGUUUUCCCUUGAAUCAUGAAAAAGAAAAAGAACGGGGUAACUCUGGGGAAUAUGUCUGAAAUAUUUAGCAACCGAUUUCAUUUUCAUAGACUGAUGCAUGACAAACGUCAAUUUUGACAUUGAAUGUACGUUAGGGAUUUGAAAGGUUCCAACUUCCAAGUGGUUGAUACGUUGCCAACUAGCUAUCAAGUUUUACUAUUCCCUUUUAACAUUCUCUCUGGAGAGUUGUAUCGUUUUCUUAAUUAAUUCAGUGUUGUUGUCCAUGGAAAUUGGUGAGCCUGCGAAUGGCCCAUCAGCCAUGAAAUAUCUGUUGGUGCAUGAUUCUUGGAUUGGAUUGGAUGUGAGUAGUUGUAGCGUGUAUGCAGUUAGUAAUGCUUGAAUUUUAAAAGGGUUUGGUAGAGAAUAUUGCAUUAAUGAUCCCACAGCUAUUAUUGUGAUACUCCCUUGAAGAAAAAGUUUUUGAAAAAAUUUAUGCAUAUAUUUCUUUUAACCAUGUAGAUGCAUUUAAAGUUAUAAAAGUUUAUUGAGUUCAACACCGAUAAUAUCUAUACAGAAGGGAGAGUUGAUCCGAACUCUAGUGUGAGAGUUUGUUUGGUCUCGUCAUCCAUGUAAACUCUGUUAUCUCUACAUAGGGUGUGGGUCACUUUUAAAGCCAAGUGUAGACUCAUCAAACUCACAAUGGACGAUAUCUAUAGGGAAGAGAGUGGAUUGUUAUGGUUUUUAUUCUUGAUUAUGGUACCAUUUUGCUCAACCUCCAUCGGAAGGCAUCUGAAAUCAUACAGACAGGGCGGUAGAAGGUUAAUCUUGAUUUCUUCUGGGUAAUGAACUGAAUUCACCCAUUAUUCAAUGAAUGGGCACAUGUCUCCUCCACCAUCUACUUCAUCUUAGCCUCUGUUACGCAGGUAAAAAAUAAGAUGUGUACAGCAUGUGGGCCAACAUAAUACUGCAGGCAGAUGUUGUUCUUUCAUACUAAAGUAUGCACAUAGUCAUAAAUCUUAUUCACACUGUACCUCAUCCAUGUCACUUGUCUUUUAUCUACUUUAUCAGAACAAGACAUUCAUAUUGCCCUUUUAUUAUUAAGUGAAGAAGAUCAACGUGUACAACCAAAUAAAAUUUUCUAUUGAAUUACAAAGAAUAGUUUAUCAAUUACAGAGACAAUUCCUUAGAUUCUGAAGUCCAAAUUAAUCAAACAAUCAGUUGACAAAUCCUGUGUUGUUCUAGUUUUUUCCAUCAGUAUUCAUGGUGAUAACACUAGAGCCUCUCAUGAAGUAGGUUGGUGCAGGUCUAAGCCAGCCCUGCCCUCCUAUCAUCUCCUUCGUCAGGAAGGGUACGGCUUCAUCGCUUGAUAGGCUCCGCGACCAUUCAACUCUUUCCGUUCUAUUGGCACCAGGACCAUAACACUUGUAUUCGCCAUAGUAUACUGUGCUGUAAAACCAAAAGCACGGCAAAAAAUCAAUAAUCGACAAACUUAGACAAGGAAAUUUCAAUUUUGAAAGAAUUAAGUGUGAUAUCAUGGUAUGUAUAUAUAGACUCCUUUAAUCAUGUAGAAUGUUUUUAAAGUUGUGAGAGCAUAUUAAGUCCAAAACCGAUAAUAUUUACAUAAUUGGGAGUGAAAUAUUAUAAAUAGUAUCAAAGCUGAUUUUCUCGAUACGGGAGUUUAUUUGUUUGAUUAUGUAAUAAGUGUUUUUGUUUGACUCUACAAUUUCAUAAAAUACAACGAGGACGUUAUGCUGUGUAAAGAUGAUUGUGAUAUCCUAGAUAGAAAAAAAAGUUUCUAAUUAUAUAUAUAAACUUUUUUAAACAAAUAUAUAUAGACAUUUUUUAAAGGUGGGUCCAUUGAUUCGGACUAUAUUUACAUAGUUGGGUUGGGAGGGAAUAUGACAUAUAUACCUUUGCUUGUUGGAGUCUCCCCAGUCAUCCCAUCCCUGUGGCUGUACCACACUGGACAUGAAGGAUAGAACAAACACCACCCUAGAGUAAGGACCCCAUGGCCUUCCAAGGUAAGGAGUUCCAACGCCUGUGAUCUUGCAGCCCAAGAAGGUAAAGCCAUUGUUCUCUGAAGUAGACCCUCUUUGUUGGGCAGUGAUGGCUCCAUUUCCUUCAGAGAGUGAAUGCAGGUGACACUUCUGCAAGAACAUCAUCCCAACUGGGUGAAAAUUCUGAAACAAGGCAUAUCAACUCAGACUUCUUUCCCCUGAAACCUAGUAGAAAUUAAACUUACUUCAAAGAGAGAAGCAGCACUUCCACAGAUGAAAUCAGUGGCUCCUUCAAUGUAGCAGUUUCUGUAGUAAUGUCUUCCAGCAUCAUCCAGGAGAGUGUCCUGAUAAGACAGGAUCCUGCAGUUGUAGAAUGCAGCUCUGUCGCCCGAUACCCUUACUGCAACAGCUUUGCUGCU